GGGAGGUUACCGACGAAGAGCUUGAGGUCAGAAGAGAAGGAUUGCUCCCGCCGCGGGGGAGGAGGAGCGUCGUCGUCAGCGAAGAUGCCGUCUUCUUCGACUGAGAAGUCGUCAGUAACCGCGACGUUACGGACGAAGCGAGAGGAAGCGGCGGAGAUGGAGAGGGAGAGGGAGGCGGAGAGGGAGUGGAGAUUGAAGGAGAGGGAAGGAGGUGAGAGGGAAGCGGAGGCGGGUCUGGAGAUGGAGAAAGGAAGGGACUUGGGGGUGAAGGUGGAGAGAGCGAGAGAGGAAGCUGAAGCAGCCAUGGUGAAGAGAUGAGAAGAGAUAAGGUUUGUUUUUAGCUUUAGGGGUUUUUUGAGAGUGGAGAUAAGAUGGUGUGUUUCUGAUAUUUAUGGGCCAAAUGGGAAUAAAUAUCUUUGCACAAAAUAUCUCAUUCUGAUUUUUAUUUACAAAAUUUGCCUCAAAACUUUAUUUUAUUGCUAAAUAUUCUGCUGCUAAUAAAAUUUGUCAAAUUUUGAUGAAUUUAUCUUAACGUCAUCUCUAAAAAAAGUAUGUAUUUAAAAAAAAUAUAGGUUUUCAUAAAUUUGUACACAAUUUUUUUAGAAAAUCUUAAUUUUCAAAAUAUUUUGUAUUUUCUCACUUUAGUGGUGUUAUCUUUAGUGAGAUGACAGAUGAGAUGAGAUCUAAGCCGUAGAGUUUUGGAUGGACAGUGGAGAUGGCACGUCUCAUGCCAAGGCCCCAAAAAUAUAAAAAAUCUAUAAGAUAGGAUAUUUUAACUAAAAGCCAAUGGAAUUAACAACUCUCGUUCCAGCACAGAUCUUUAACUCCAAUAAAUUCAGAAAACAAUACAGUUCCUUUAAAGAAAACCACUGAAUCAUACAAAGGUUGCUCCAUUCAAAACAAGUUAAUAAGAAACUAUUUAUUUGGAUAACAAUAGAAGACUGAAGUUCUUGAACUGCAAAACGCUUUUAGGAUCUCUUCAAUUGGAGGGUCAUCUCCAGCUUCUUUGUCCUGAAACGUUCCAACAAACAAGUUGUUGAGUACGAGAUUGUGAUUAAUUUACCCCUUUGAUUACAUUGACAUGGUGUAAACACAAGUAUUUGAUCAAAACGUGUUACCUGGUCCAUACUCCCCGGUCCGAUCAAAACAUGAGAAACACCAGAUGCAUCCAUCACAUGCUAAGAAAACCUCAAAUGUAUCACUUAAUGAAAUGAUCAAAACCACAUCAAGAUUUUGACAUUGUUGUUUUUACUCCGGGAAAGCCGAAAGAAAUAAGAAAAAUCCUAACUUUAAGUUUUAGUUAGAAAAAAAAAUCAAAUUAAAAAAAUCUCGUGGAGUGGAGUUAUUACACGUUGCAUAGAUGACGUAAGCAUUGUCCGAAACAGAAAAAGUCAAACGCCACGUAAGCUCAGUAAGGGUAAAAAGUUUUGGAAAGGUAGAUCCUUUUCUAAAAGCGAAUGUUCCUUCUUUGCACGUUCAAGCGAUCUCAAGCCGCUCCUCUCUCUCUCUCUCUAUCAUCUCUGAAAUGGCGAGAGUACUGCGUGUGGCGAGAUCCUCCUCCUCCCUCUUCAGCUUCGGAAGCAGAUCUUAUUCAGCCGAAGCUAGCCACGUGUCCUCUCCCCCUCCUCCGUUUCUUGGAGCUCGCAGAGACGUUACCAAGGAGAGAAACGUGCAGUGGGUGUUCCUCGGUUGUCCCGGUGUCGGGAAGGGGACUUACGCCAGCAGACUCUCGAGUCUCCUCGGUGUUCCUCACAUCGCCACCGGAGAUCUCGUCCGUGAUGCGCUAGCUUCUUCCGGACCUCUCUCCCGACAGGUUCUUGUUUCACUUUAUGUCCAAAUGAAUCCCAAAACGACGUCGUUUUCUGUUUAAAUCUGCUAAAAGUUCAUGUGUCUACCAACAGAUCUAAUGAACUAGUGUUUGUUUUGUCCUAACGGAUCUGAUCCUUUUUCUAAUAAUAGUCAACGGCUCUCUCCUCUUGCUUGUAUUGAGAUUCUUAUUACUUGAUUGCAGCUAUCAGAGAUUGUAAACCAGGGGAAGCUUGUUUCUGAUGAGAUCAUAGUGAACUUAUUAUCAAAGAGACUUGAAGCUGGUGAAGCCAAGGGCGAAUCAGGUUUCAUUCUUGAUGGCUUUCCUCGUACCAUGAGACAAGCUGUAAGUUAAUUCAUUGACUUCACAUCAUAUUGAGCAAAGUUUUGAAUGAUUAAUCUUUGUGUUUUCAGGAAAUAUUAGGAGAUGUCACUGACAUCGAUCUAGUGGUGAACUUAAAGCUACCUGAGGAGGUUUUGGUUGACAAAUGCUUAGGGAGGAGAACGUGUAAUCAAUGCGGUAAAGGUUUCAAUAUAGCUCACAUCAACUUAAAGGGUGAGAAUGGGAAACCAGGAAUCAGCAUGGAUCCACUUCUCCCUCCACCUCAGUGUAUGUCAAAGCUCAUCACUCGUGCUGAUGAUACUGAGGAGGUUGUGAAAGCUAGGCUCCGUAUUUACAAUGAAACCGUAAGUCCUCUUUCUCUCUCUCUAUUGUUCUUCCCAUUUUAGCGAUGCUUGAUGCUUUGAAUGAUGUGUGCAGAGCCAGCCUCUUGAAGAGUACUACCGUAUCAAGGGAAAGCUGAUGGAGUUUGACUUACCUGGAGGCAUCCCUGAGUCUUGGCCAAGGCUGUUAGAAGCUUUAAGGCUUGAUGAUUACGAGGAGAAGCAAUCUGCCGCGGCGUAGUUCAACUACAACUCCGGUUUAUAAUUCUUUGCAUGUGGAAGACAUGUGCCUAUAUCAGUUUUGUGUUGGAAAAUAAAGAAAACCUUAGAUUGUUUUUUUUUAUUGCCUCAGAUCAGAAUAAUCAUCAUCAUACACACUUUGCAAACUAUAUGAUGUAUCAUGAUUGUUUAUGAGUUUGCUAGUUACAGGAAUGUAUAAACACUUUGGUACACUUUUGAUUAUUUAUUGUUGAAUGUGAUCAAUGAUUGUUUAUGAGUUUGCUAGUUACAUUACAUGAAUGUAUCAAUACUUACACUGCUUGUUACACAUCAGGUUUGAUGUUUGGGCUCUUGUGAUUAGUUUGUUUAUUGUUGAAUGUGUGUGAUAAUAUUGCGGCUGGCCGAGCUGGCUGGUUAAAGAACACAACCAGACAGUAAAGUAAAACAGUCGCAUACAUUAAAGAUUUUGUGGAACGUAUAACCAGCUCCUGUCUGUCCUAGAAUUGGCGGUUCGGGAUAGAACUGUUCCUUACAUACUGGAACUUCCAGUAGAAUUUGAUGCUAAUUGUUGGUCCUAAACUAGUGUGUAUCAGUUGCUAUGUGAUCUCAUAACUGGACCUUAUCUUAUGGUUUGUGCUUGAGGUUUCUGAGAAAUCGCUGGGUUCAUUUGAUUCUUCUGGUUUGACAAUUAGUUUCUUGUUAUGGACACGGUGAAAUCAGACUCAAAUCGGUGGAAUAAGACAGCCUCAAAGAAGGCAGACAUAAUCAUGUUUGCUCUUGAUUCAUCUUCAAUCUCAACAGGACAUUAAAAUCAAUUUGUAGCUUUAUUUUGUUAGUAUAUAGAUUUGAUGAAAUAAACAACCUUUAAAUUAUAAAUAUAAAGAUGAAAAUAUUCUUAAACAUGAAACCGUUUUGAUCAAGAUUCAAAAAAAACUUCAUUAAAAGAUAGGGACAUCUUCUGAAACAUAUCCAAAAAGCUCUAAUGAAAAACAGCAAGAUAAGGUCUUUGAGAUGUAAUGCAAACUCAAGGCCUAGGAAGAUCCUCCUUAACGGUUGGCCUUCGCAACUCUCUCAAUCUCAUCCUUCUUCUUGAUGGCAUAGCUGCAAAAAAACAAGACAAGAUGCUAUUAGUAUUUAGCAACAAACAAACACAAUUUGUGAACCCGCUUUAAGAGACAAGACAAUGUAAAGAUGUUUACCUGUUGGAAGAUCCCUUGGCAGCAUUGAUGAGCUCAUCAGCAAGGCACUCAGCGAUUGUCUUGAUGUUUCUAAACGCAGCUUCACGUGCACCAGUGGUGAGCAAGAAGAUGGCUUGGUUCACACGUCUUAGAGGAGAGAUAUCAACAGCCUGCCUCCUAACCACACCAGCAGAUCCAAUCCUCGUCGCAUCCUCACGUGGACCACUAGCUCACCAAUAAAACACACACAACAUUAGAAAAAAAGGUUUCUAGUAACACGCAAUAAAGAAUGCAACAUUGUUGUCUUACCUGUUGACAAUGGCAUCAAUGAUAACCUGAAUAGGGUUCAAGUCAGUCAAGAGAUGGAUGAUCUCCAUGGCGUGCUUGAUGAUCCUCACAGCCAUCAGCUUCUUUCCGUUGUUCCUUCCGUGCAUCAUGAGAGAGUUCGUGAGCCUCUCAACGAUUGGGCACUGAGCCUUCCUGAACCUCUUCACAGAGUAUCUUCCAGCAGUGUGGGGGACAAAGGUCGCGUGCUUAGCAGGCUGAACACCAAUGUAGUCAACAAGACUAAUGUCUGUGACCUACCCAUUCACAAAAAAAAAAAACACAAGAUCAACAAAACAAAUACUAAGAACAUAGCCAUUGUUGCCAAUUUAAAUUUUAGAGAUCUAAUAUUCAAAAACAAACCAAACAACACAGAAAGUGUUGGACUUUAAGACAAAGAAACAUCAGGAUCAACCAAGUGUACUGAGACAAUAAAACAUGAAUUGAAAAUUAACAAAAAUAAAAACAAAAAGAGGACAUUUUUUCCGACAUAACUCCAUGAGUUAUAUCUAAUUCAGACAAUGUAACUAUUUUUUUGUAAUAGACCAAUCAUUUCAUUGUAGAAUUAGAUCCUAUAAAGAUUGCAAAUGAGCUAUCGUAAACUUACCGAAACGUCAUCAAAGCUCCAGCGAUUGAAGAGCUUGACCUCGUUGGUAAGCUGCUGCUGAAUCUCAGCGUCAAUCUCAACGGCGGCGGCCAUGGCUGGAAACACCAAACAAAAGCUUAGCCACAAGCACACACGCAAACCAGAGAAUCGAAGAUGAAGAAGAAAUCAAUACCUCAAACUCGUAAGCGUCGUGNNNNNNNNNNNNNNNNNNNNNNNNNNNNNNNNNNNNNNNNNNNNNNNNNNNNNNGCGUCGUGUGGAGAUGAGACGGGACUAGGUUUAGCUGCAGCUACUGCUUGAAGAAGGUGGUGAGAAGAAACAAAAACCCUAAUUUUACUAGAGUAUAGGGUUUUUAAAAUGGAUUUUAUUGGGCCCAAUGGGCUUUUCGUAAGGCCCAGUCCAAGUCGUUAUACCAUAAGUCUUUAGAGCAUACUAGAAAGAGAGCAUUCAAUGCGGGAUGUCGACUUGCUAGCUCUCGUCCAUGCACCGUCCGUCGCCAUCAAUCCGUGAGUUUUUAUCGGUUUUUGUUCAAUGACUCCAACGAACUUUGAAAGAUUUGCCCACUCUUCCUUGCAAAUUAAUCACGAGAUCAUCGCCUUGUACUUGUUACUCCAUUUUGUCGUAUUAUCAUAUUUACUUGUUACUCCAUAUUGUCGUAUUAUCAUAUUUUUAUAAGAUAUUCACUAACAGUAACAGAUAAGUCAUUCUUAUCCUAAAGUCAUUUUAAUUCAGAGACGACAAAAUUUAGGAAAAAUAAAUUCUAGAUGAUUUAUCGAAAAAUAUUUGUGUGUAAUGUUAUAGUCAGUUAACUUAAUUCGUUUGCAAUUUCUAGGAAUAAAAAUAUGACAGUCUAAUUCGUUAAAUUAGUAUACUUUCCCAAAAAGACAAAUAAUACAAGCUGAUCUUGAAGAAUCAAUAAAUUAAUGUGAAAAUGAUAGACAAUGAACGUGAAGAUUGCUUGAGAUAUGAUAAGAUACUUUCAAUGCUCCCGACAAGAAAAGCAUUAAUUUGGACUCGUUGAUGCAUGGGGUAGAUAAGAGUGGACAGGGGAGCUUGCAGAGAUUGGAAACAAGUAUGGGGGAUCGAGUUUCAAGAGCAUCUCCUCAAGAAAUGAACAUGAGGAUGAGAACAUUUCUCGUCGACACACAAACUGCUAAGAUAAACUAUUGUGGUAAGAUAGAAUAUAUGUACCACAUCAAUGUCCUAGCUAAGAAUAGAUACCACAGCAAUGUUCUAGCAAAGCAAUAUUGUCGAAAGUUUGUUCAUCUAUAAUUUUCUUUUCCUUUUAAUUAAUUAAGAUGGGUGCAAUUUUUGCCUAGCAACACUAGAAUAUAGAAUAUGGACCACUUAUGUAAUUUAAGCAUGCAUAAUGGCACACUAUAAGUACUAGCUUUUAAAUAAAUAAAGUGAUCCUUCAAUUAAUUAGGUAUUUCAUAUUCUCAAAGUAAGUUAGGUAAUAAUACUUUAAUUUCCACACUUUCUUGACCCAAUAAAACUCCCCAAUAUAUUAUUUGUAGUCUACUUUUUUUUAUUAAAUUUGUAGAUAUUGUUAGAGGAAUAUAGUAUGUUUUCUUUUGAAUUAUUAUCUCUUUUUAUUUAUUUUUAUUUCAAAUAAUAAGUUUGUUUAUUUUUAAGAAGAAUAUCCUACCUCUAGUCAAUUCAAAUUGUUUGUUUCCGACCAUAUUCCAAUCAUGGUAAAUUACCCAAAAAGAACACAAAAUAAUGACGUUGAGACACUCUCAAAAGUUAGCACGUAACAAUUGUAGUAGUGAAAAGACGUCUAAGCAUAUUAAAUAUAUUUACACUUUGAAGACAAAUGCAUAUCUCAUUAUUGACUAUUCAUCAGAUAAGAAGCCAAGAGAGUACUCACUGAGACAUGAGUGGUGAUGAUUUGAGAAUGGAGCUUGCAGAGAUUGGAAAAAGCAUGGGGUCGAGUUUCAGGAGCAGCUCCUCAAGAAACGAGGAUGAGGCAGAGCAUGCUCUGCAGUGGGCUGAGAUCCAAAGAUUACCUAGUUUCAAACAACUGAGAUCAUCUCUGGUCGAUGAAGAAGGGGAUGAUGUGGAGAAAGGGAAAAGGGUCGUUGAUGUCACCAAGCUUGGAGCCAUGGAACGUCGUCUGAUGAUUGAGAAGCUGAUCAAACACAUUGAGAAUGACAAUCUCAAGCUGCUCAAGAAAAUUAGAAGAAGAAUAGACAGGUAUAUGUGAAAACAAAGAAACAAACCUUGUGAAUCUUGAACUGAGUUGUUACUUUGCAGGGUUGGUGUGGAGCUUCCAAGCAUAGAGGUGAGGUAUAAGCAUCUAAGUGUUGAAGCAGAAUGUGAGGUCGUUGAAGGGAAGGCGCUUCCAACUUUAUGGAAUUCUUUGAAGCACAUUUUCUUAGUGAGUAUACUUGAGAAUAUAAUGCAUUUUGCCAGUAGGUAGUAAAUUGUUGUGAACAAACGCGAAUUAACUUCAAAGAAAACAAAAAAAACUUGAAAAGAACAAAGCACGAUUGAGGCAAAUAUCAUUUUAAAAUUUGUAUAUUGAUUAUGUGAAUAAUUAAAUCUACAACAACUUAGACAGUUGUUAACAUAACUAGUAUUGAACUAUACUUUUUUCUUCUUUAGGAGUUGGUAAAGCUGAGUGGUGUAAGAACACAUGAAGCCAAGAUAAGCAUACUUAACGAUGUUAGCGGCAACAUUAACCCUGGAAGGUAGCUUUUGAUCCAAGCUUUGAGUUAGUGUGUAAUGCACGCAACUAAUGCUCUCUUCUUGUUGCUCCAAGGUUAACACUGCUGCUUGGUCCUCCUGGAUGUGGAAAAACUACUCUGCUCAAGGCUUUGUCCGGAAACUUGGACAAGAAUCUAAAGGUUUUCAGACUUUGUUUCAAUCUGAUUCUCAUGAUGCAGAUGUGUAAACCACAGAACUCUUUUGUUUUCCACAGAUUUCUGGUGAAAUCUCUUACAAUGGACACGGUCUAAACGAGUUUGUUCCUCAGAAGACAUCCGCUUACAUAAGCCAACACGAUCUGCACAUUGCGGAGAUGACUGUUAGGGAGACAAUAGACUUCUCAGCUCGUUGUCAAGGUGUUGGUAGUCGAACAGGUAAGAUGUCUUCUGAAGCAUCCGCUAAACUAUUUGCUGAAACAGAUAUAUCAAUUUUCUCUGUACCAAUGUUCAAAAAGUUGUUUGGCUAUAACUAUGCAUUUUAUAGAGGACUACCGAUUAGAUUGAUUAUUCGGGGCAGUGCUAACGAAAUAUUGAUUUGUUUUAUAUAUUUUUUACAUUUUUAUAUGAUAUUUUUUGGCUUUAAUUAUAAAACUAUUUUGAUGAAUUGUAAAAAUUAAAUAUACAAAAUAAAACAAAUUAGAAAAAUCUGUGGAUUUGCACUAACAUAAUUGGUUAAUUUAGAUUGAUUUAAACCAAUUUUAACUGAUUUAGAACAAUUCAAACCGAUUUGAAUCAUGCUCUAUACUAUUGGCUGAAACAGAUAUUAUGAUGGAGGUCAGUAAAAGAGAAAAGGAUGGUGGAAUCAUUCCUGACCCUGACGUAGAUGCUUACAUGAAGGUCCCAUUCCAUAAGCUAAUCUUUUAAGAGGGAUGAUUAUAAAACCUUUUGUUAAUCCCAUUGUGCAGGCUAUAUCGGUUAAUGGACUUAAAAGAAGUCUACAAACAGAUUACAUCUUGAAGGUAAUUUCUCUGACAACAACUCAGACUUGUAAUCCUUGUUGAUUAGCUUCUUGAUUAUGUCAUGUAUUUGCAAUUUGCAUUUCUUUUUCUUCAGAUCCUAGGGCUUGACAUAUGUGCAGAAACAUUGGUUGGUAAUGCCAUGAAAAGAGGCAUAUCUGGUGGUCAAAAGAAGCGUCUUACUACAGGAGAGAUGAUCGUUGGUCCAACAAAAGCUCUGUUUAUGGAUGAAAUCACAAACGGCUUAGACAGCUCCACAGCGUUUCAGAUAGUUAAGUCACUUCAGCAGCUGGCUCACAUCACCGACGCAACUGUGUUUGUUUCCCUUCUUCAGCCUGCUCCAGAGUCAUAUGAUCUCUUUGACGAUAUUGUCUUGAUGGCUGAAGGAAAAAUAGUUUAUCAUGGUCCAAGAGGCGAGGUCUUGAGGUUCUUUGAAGAGUGUGGGUUUAGAUGCCCAGAGAGGAAAGGUGUUGCAGACUUUCUACAAGAGGUAAGAAGCCAAGUUUAUGUUCCUUGACACUUACGUUUUGUUCUGAGUUGUUUUUGUUUUGCAGGUUAUAUCUAGGAAGGACCAAGGACAGUACUGGCUGCACCAGGACAUACCCUAUACCUUUCUCUCAGUAGACGCGUUGUCCAGGAGAUUCAAGGAGUUAGAGAUUGGGAGAAAGAUUGAGGAUGCUCUCUCUAAGCCCUAUGAUAAUUCAAAAACCCACAAGGAUGCUCUCUCUUUCAGUGACUAUUCUCUUCCAAAGUGGGAGCUGUUCAGAGCAUGCAUCUCAAGAGAGUUUCUAUUAAUGAAGAGAAACUCUUUCGUCUACCUCUUCAAGACGUUUCAGGUUACAUUCUUCGUUCCUUGUGUCUUCUUUCAAUGUUCUAGGGUUAGGUCUAAAGAAACCCUUCUUGCCCUUUAUGUUUUGCAGCUUGUUCUGUCAGCAAUCCUCACUAUGACAGUUUUUAUUAGAACACGUAUGGGUGUAGAUAUCAUUCAUGGAAACUCUUACAUGAGUUGUCUCUUUUUCGCAACCGUUGUGCUUUUGGUGGAUGGUUUGCCAGAGCUGUCUAUGACUGUUCAACGUCUUGCCGUGUUCUACAAGCAAAAGCAACUUUGUUUCUAUCCAGCUUGGGCUUAUGCAAUCCCUGCAACCGUGUUAAAGAUCCCUCUCUCUUUCUUCGAAUCUCUCGUUUGGACUUGCCUUACUUACUACGUCAUUGGAUACACUCCUGAAGUCUCUAGGUAAGAAGAACUCUAUAACCAUCUCUUGCUUGCUCCCUACUCAAACGAUUAUGGAAAGUAAUGGUUACUUGGUGUUUUUAGGUUCUUACGUCAGUUCAUGAUGCUCUUUGCUGUUCACUUCACAUCCAUAUCCAUAUUCCGAUGUAUAGCUGCAAUCUUUCAGACAGGAGUUGCUUCAAUGGCAGCUGGUAGUUUCGCCGUAUUAAUCACCUUUGUGUUCGCCGGUUUCGCCAUCCCAUACAGUAAGACUUUUGCACUCUUUCUUCAUUUCAGUCUUGUUCCAAACUUCCAUCAAAACAUGACCAGGGCCGGAUCUAGGCACAGCCCAAUAAAACAUCGGUCUCGGUCCCUAAAUUUUUUGAAAUUUUUAGUACGAAUAAACCCCUAAACUAUAGAAAAAAAAAAUUGUUUUACUAAGAUUUUUAAAUGUUUCAAGCUCCCAAAAUCUCAUAUCCGGCCCUGAACGUGACAUUGGUUUUGUUGCUGCAGCUGAUAUGCCAGGGUGGCUGAAAUGGGGAUUCUGGGUGAAUCCUAUAGGUUACGCAGAGAUUGGGCUCUCUGUAAACGAGUUUCUUGCUCCGAGAUGGCAGCAAGUAAGUAUCUCAUCUUUUUACAUACUUCUCUUCAUCAUUCUUACAAGACUAAUCAAGUUUUUCUUGUUAUGUUUUGUAGAUGCAACCAACGAAUGUUACAUUGGGGAGAACCAUACUUGAAAGCAGAGGACUGAACUAUGAUGAUUACAUGUACUGGGUCUCAUUAUGUGCCUUGCUGGGACAGACUCUCCUCUUCAAUACUAUUUUCACUCUAGCUUUGAGUUUCUUGAAAUGUAAGUUACAAAAUAUCGAAAAAUAUGCCAUGGACUAAAGCAUAAACUGAAGAGCUUCUUUUUUAACAGCUCCCACUACAUCUCGCGCUAUGAUCUCCAAAGACAAGCUCUCUGAGCUGCAAGGAACAAAAGAUUCAUCACUCAAUAAGAACAAGAAGGCAAUAGAUUACACAGAAGAUUCAGGUGAAACAUAUAUGUCUUUCUUGUCAUACAAGCAAACUCUUUAUUCUCAGUUUAGCUUUAUUGACCUAAUUCAUUCAGCAGGGAAGAUGGCCUUACCUUUUAAGCCUCUCACCAUAACAUUUCAAGAUUUGAACUACUACGUUGACGUUCCUGCGGUAAAAUCUUCUCCUCCCCAUCCUUGGAUCUUAACCAUCUUCAUAUGCAAACAUGAUCAUCAAAGGACGUUUUGACUAAUCUUAGGAGAUGAGAGUUCAAGGAUACAAUGAGAAGAAACUGCAGCUUCUCUCAGAUAUCACCGGAGCUUUCAGACCAGGCGUUCUAACAGCGUUGAUGGGGAUCAGUGGAGCCGGAAAAACAACUCUACUCGACGUUCUCGCCGGAAGAAAAACAAGCGGAUACAUCGAAGGAGAGAUCAGAAUCAACGGAUACUUUAAAGUCCAAAAAACCUUCGCAAGAGUCUCAGGCUACUGCGAGCAAACAGAUAUACACUCACCAAACAUCACCGUCGAGGAGUCUCUAAUCUACUCAGCUUGGCUCCGUCUAGUUCCAGAAAUAGAUCACAAAACCAAAAUAGUAAGCCGGCCCUAGUGAUUCUAAAAAAGGCAAGAAUGACCUAGAAAGUAACUUGACUGAAAAGAAACUCGUUGCAGAGAUUCGUGAAGGAAGUUCUUGAGACGAUAGAGCUGGAGGAGAUCAAGGACGCGAUGGUGGGAGUCCCCGGCCAGAGCGGGCUGUCGACGGAGCAGAGGAAGAGGUUGACGGUGGCGGUGGAGUUGGUGGCGAAUCCUUCGAUCAUAUUCAUGGACGAGCCGACGACGGGGCUGGACGCAAGAGCAGCAGCCAUUGUGAUGAGAGCUGUGAAGAACGUUGCGGAGACUGGACGUACCAUUGUGUGCACUAUUCAUCAGCCUAGUAUCGAUAUUUUUGAAGCCUUCGACGAGGUACAUAUGUUUUUCAAAUAUGAAAAGUAUUUAUAGUGGUUUUGUUUUAAAAGAAUACUCUCACAUGUAUUAUAUUAACAUUUUAUCCAAAAGUAGAUAUAAGAGAUUUUUUUUCUUCAAAAUAGCCUUUAUCAAAAAUUUGAAAAUUAUAGAAUAAUUGAGUUUAGGGUUUAAAAGGGAUGGGUGAGAUUAGGUUUUAUAAAUUAAAGUAACUUAAUUUUUUUUAUUUAAAUGAGUGUGUUUUGAAGAUCUGUUAGUGUUAUAUUUGUGAUAAACUUUAAAAGUGCUAUUUUGGAGUUUUGACUAUUUUGUGGAUAAUUAAGAAGAAAUUUCUUAUAACAUAUUGUUUUUAUUACAUGUUCAGUUGGUACUUCUGAAGAGAGGAGGUCGCAUGAUUUACACUGGACCACUUGGACAACAUUCUUCUCAUGUCAUACAGUAUUUUGAGGUUAGCGUGUUAUACAAGAAAAUGAGCCAGUUUAGUUUCUAUGACUUUUUCAAUGUUUUAACGAAAUAAUUAACUAUGUAUAUUUUUGUUAUUUGGGGUUAAUGAACAGAGUAUCUCUGGAGUUGCUAAGAUUAAAGACAACUACAAUCCAGCAACAUGGAUGCUAGAGGUCACUUCACAGUCUGUAGAGAUUGAACUCAACAUGGAUUUUGCAAAAAUCUACAAAGAAUCUGCUCUCUACAAGUGAGCUGAAUAUCUCAAAAACAACUGAAACCUUGUCAUUUAUUACGAGCUCAUGUGUUUUCUCUGUAGCAGGAGCAACUAUGAGCUUGCUCAGGAGCUGAGCAAACCGGAUCCCGGGUCAAGCGAUUUACAUUUCGAGAGAACUUUUGCGCAGAGCUGGUGGGAACAGUUCAAAUCUUGUCUAUGGAAGAUGAGCUUGUCUUACUGGAGAAGCCCUGCUUACAACUUGAUGCGAAUCUUUCACACUUUAGUCUCUUCUUUGAUCUUUGGUUUACUCUUCUGGAAGCAAGGUCAAAAGAUGUAAGUUAGUUGCAUAAAAUACAUUCAAAUCAUCAUUAGAGCAUGUUCAUUAGUGAGACCCUUAAGUGUCUCUUAAGUGGGGUUUAAUAAUUUUUUAACUAUUAAAUUUAAUAUAAGAGAUUUUGUUAAGAAACACUUAAUUAUAGUGGUUUAUUGGUGGUUUCUUAAUUAAGGUGCUUAACAAAUAAAAAAAUAUUAAACUUUUUUUAAACAUAAAAUUUUAAACAAAGAUUAAUUUUAUUUAUUAAAUAAAACAAAGUCAAACAUAACAUUUUAAACAUAGAUUUUAAAAUAAAAAAAAUUAAAACAUUAAAACAAAGAUUACUAAAAUAAACAAUACUAAUUUUAAAGCGGCAUCCAAGUUCAGUUGUUGUGUUGAUCACGUCCAAAUUUAUGCCAUAUAUGUUCAACCAAAUCACCUUUCAGUUGUUGAUGCGCUUGUCUAUCACGAAUUCUUGUUCGAACACCCAUCUGAUUGGCGAUAUUUGUAGGGAUAUCUGUAGAAUAUGUUAAAUCUACAUAUGAACUUCUGCUGCCUUCGCCUUGUUGGAAUCCCGAGACAUCAAACUAACUGCAUUCAUCCCGUUCGUUUUCUACUAUCAUAUUAUGGAGUAUGAUACAUGCUCUCAUAAUCUUCCCAAUCUUGACUUUAUCCCAACAAAGUGCUGGAUUUUUAACAAUGGCAAAUCGAGCUUGCAAGACUCCGAAAGCACGCUCGACAUCUUUUCGGGCAGCUUCUUGAUGUUGAGCAAAUAAAACUGCUUUCGGCCCUUGUGGAAGUGAAAUAGAUUGGAUGAAAGUUGCCUAUUUCGGAUAAAUUCUAUCGAUCAGAUAGUAAGCCAAAUCAUACUCUUUUCCGUUGACUGAGAAAUUCACUUGCGGGGCUUGACCAUUUAUGAUGUCAUCAAAAACAGGUGAGCGAUCUAGAACAUUAAUAUCAUUUAAGGUACCUGGAGGUCCAAAAAACGUAUGCCAUAUCCAGAGAUCAUAUGAAGCAACCGCCUCUAAAACUAUUGUGGGUUUCCCCGAACCACGAGAAUAUUGCCCUUUCCAAGUGGUGGGACAAUUCUUCCACUCCCAAUGCAUACAAUCGAUGCUUCCUAUCAUCCCGGGAAAUCCACGAACCUCUCCAAUAUAAAGUAGACGUUGAAGGUCAUCCGGUGUUGGUCUUCUUAGGUACUCAUCGCCGAACAAAUUUAUGAUUGCUUCCACAAAAUUUUCCACACAUAACCGAACAGUGGUUGCACCGAGCCUGAGGUAUUCGUCGACCGCAUCAAGCGCAGAACCAUAUGCCAACACACGAAUAGCUGCUGUACACUUUUGAAGCGGGGAGAGACCUUGCCUUCCGGUAACAUCCUUCUUCUGACGAAAGAAUUGGACUUCGUUGGAGAGGCGAUCAACAAUAUACAUGAACAAAGGCUUGUUCAUUCUAAAUCGACGUCGGAAUAGAUUUGCUGGAUAUGUCGGCGCGUCACUGAAAUAAUCAUUCCAUAACCGGAGAUGGCCUUCUUCACGAUUUCUUUCAAUAAAAACUCUCUUUUUCUUUUUCUUCCUUUGAUCUUGUUGAUCACCAUAAACAUUGCACAAAUUCUCAAAUGUUUGUUCGAAAGUCUGAUCAAAAUAUUUAUCGAACAUUUCAUCAAAUGACUCAUCCAAAUCAAAUGACUCAUCCGAGAUGUGAUUUGAAGACGAAGCCAUGAAAGACUUGAUUUCGAAAAUUUAAGAAUGGUGAGUGUGUGAACGUGAGAUGAAAAAGAGAAGGAAGAGAGAACAAAGAGAACCGAGAGAAUGAGAACGUAGAGAAUUGUGAGUAUGAUCAGUUUUUAUUUUACAAAGAGAAUGAAGAACCGAGAGAAGAACAUGAGACUAUAGAGAUAGAGAAUGGUAAGAGAGAAUGGUGAUUUCUUUACGCUCUCAGCACAAACAUUUUAUAACCGUCACCGUUAGAGAGAGAGAGCUCGCCGUUGUCCAUCGUCGACGAGAGAAACCCAUAGAAACGUCGACAAGCUCAACGGAGAGGGAGAGAGAGGAAACGCCGUUUCGUCGACGAGAUCACCGAGACAGAGAGAGAGAGAGAGAGAGGAAUCACCUUUUCGUCGAGGAGAGCACCGACAGAGAGAGAAAGAGCUCGCCGUUGUCCAUCGUCGACGAGAGAAACCAAUAGAGACGUCGACGAGCUCAACGGAGAGGGAGAGAGAGGAAACGCUGUUUCGUCGACGAGAUCACCGAGACAGAGAGGGAGAGAGAGAGGAAUCGCCUUUUCGUCGAGGAGAGCACCGACAGAGAGAGAAAGAGCUCGCCGUUAUCCAUCGUCGACGAGGAAUAUCCAUAGAGACGUCGACGAGCUCAACGGAGAGGGAGAGAGGAAUCGCCGUUGUCGUCACUCUUGCGGAGCAACCGAGAAGAGAAAGGAAAGAGAGAAAGAAACAAGAACGACUUCACCGUUCGGAGAGCCAAUAACGACGUGACACGUCGCCCAAAUUACCGUGUCUUCGAGCACUUAAUUAGGGGACGUCCCUUGGCUUUAUUUCGUGUUUUCCAUUUUUUUUUAUGAUUAAUUAAGUUAAGGGACAUGCUUAAGAGCUGCCUUUGAACAUGCUCUUACAUUCCUAGUAAAGAACUGUCUCACACAUUAGGAAAGUACUAUUUUAUUUCAAAAAUAGCACACAAGAAUAUUUUUUUCCAAAAGAGUAUUAACUAAAAGUAUAUGGGUGUGGAUUUAGUGAUUAUGAUUUAGGGUUUAAUAUUUAGAGAGUGGAGUUAGGGUAAGAGUUUAGGAUACAGAGUAAUUUAGUCAAUUUAAUCUUUAACUAAUUAUAGUUUGAGAAUUUUUCUCUUAUGUUCUAUUUUUGUCAUAAUUGUUUGUAUUUUUUUUUUUUUGGCAGAGAUACUCAACAGAACUUGUUCACAGUUCUUGGAGCCAUCUAUGGCCUUGUGAUAUUCUUGGGGGUAAACAACUGCACUUCAGCUUUACAGUAUUUUGAGACAGAGCGUAACGUUAUGUACCGCGAAAGAUUCGCUGGAAUGUACUCUGCCUUUGCCUUUGCACUGGCUCAGGUUGUGACCGAGAUUCCUUACAUUUUCAUCCAAAGCGCAGAGUUUGUGAUCAUAAUAUAUCCUAUGAUGGGUUUAUACGGAUCUGCCUAUAAAGUCUUUUGGAGUCUCUACUCAAUGUUCUGCAACUUACUCUCCUUCAACUACUUAGCAUUGUUCCUCAUCUCCAUCACUCCAAACUUCAUGCUCGCAGCUAUUCUCCAGUCUCUUUUCUUCGUUGCUUUCAACCUUUUUGCUGGAUUCUUGAUUCCACUACCGGUAAGUUCUUUUUGUAACAAGUCAUUAUAUACCAUUAUCAUCAUCGUUGAUCUUUACCUAUAGUUAAUAGUGUUUUUCCUUGAUGUUGAAACAAUGCAGCAAAUACCAAAGUGGUGGGUGUGGCUUUACUAUCUAACACCUCCCUCUUGGAGUCUCAAUGUGUUUUUCUCGUCUCAGUACGGUGAUAUUCAUCAAGAGAUCAAUGCAUUUGGAGAAACCACGACCGUGGCGAGAUUCUUAGAGGACUAUUUUGGAUUCCAUUAUGAUCGUUUGAUGACUUCAGCCAUUAUUCUCAUAGCGUUUCCAGUUGCAUUGGCUUCUAUGUUUGCUUUCUUUGUUGCCAAACUCAACUUUCAGAAACGAUGAUCCAUCACACACCAACCAAAGGUUUGAAACACCAAAGGGUAGUUUACAAAUUACUGUAUGGACAUGCACGUAUUCGUUGUCACACUAUUUGUAAACACUAAACAAAUGCAAAAUUUAUUUAUAAAAUCAUAAGAAAGUUGGAUAUACUCUAAUGCAUCAAAAUAAAUAGGUCUACAACAUAAUAGUAACUCUCUUAUUUUUUUACCAUAGAGAAAUGAUCUACGGCUGAAUACUUCAAAUAUUAAUUAGUAUACUGCUUCAUGCAAUUGAAAUGAAUAGUAAAGUAUACUGCUUCCUUUAUUCAGGCACAUCAUAAUUUUCAAGAAGAAACGUCAUUUUCUUUCUUUGAUCACAAAAGACACAAGAAGAAAGAGACAUGUGUGUGUCUUGUCGUCCUCCCCAUCUCUACUAACACUUUGAAUUUAAUACUGUCAAACUCAAAGGUCUCCUAAAGCCUAAUUAAUCCCUUUAUGAUCACAUGCCCUUCUCCUUCCUCUCUCUCUCUCCAUUCUCCUAGUACCCAUCAAGAACUUCCACAAAAGUAUUAAACUGUAGCUUCAGGAUCCAACCUCAGAGAAACGGUUCUCAAUCAAGGUUAUUUGAGUAUUGGAUAUUCUUGAUUCUUGAACUCAGGAAAAGUCAUUACUAGCCUGUGAUUCUGCUUCAUGACUUGAGGUUGAAGCAACAACACUUUCUUCACCAGAAGAAACAUCUUUGAUCUUUGAACUUAACUCUUCUUUUUCUUCUUCCACGGAGGCAACAUUUUCAGUUUCUUGAUCAAUGUUUUCUUCCUCAACAAAUCCAUUUCCAUGAGUUUCUUUUUCCUCUCCUUCUUCCUUGGAAGCUGAGGUGGAAACCGAUGAUAAACAAGAAACUUCAGAUGAACUCAACUGCUCUGAUCCUUCAGAACUGCGAGACCCUUUUAUGGAUUCAAGCUUUUUCAUCAGAAACUUUAGUCUCUUCUCUGCUUUCUCCCUUAAUCUGAUCUCUUCUUUCAGAUUUUUCUCCAGCUCUUCCAUCUGUUUCCAAGAGAUUAAAGGUUUUCUUUGAAACAAAAAUCAGCUUAUUACCAAACAAAGAUUAAAAAAAAUAAAAAUAACAGAGCAAAUGAAUUUACAAGUAACAAGAAUGACUCUUUUCUUGGUUGUUGAUUAAACCCAAAUCUUCAAAAAAGUAGUGAGAAAAAGGCAUUUCUUAAACAAGAAUGAUGAUACUAAGGAUUUUAUGAAACUUACCUUUCUGGUAAUGAGGUCUGCUUCAUCUUUUACAGACCUUGAAACUUGCCUCUCUGCAAGCAGUCUCCCUCUUAGACACUCCACAGUUCUCAGAUUUCCCUUCUCUUCUCCUUCCUCCAUCUUCUUACUUGCAAAAUUUGUUCUUAAACAAAAAAAAAGAAGAUAAAAAUCAAUUCCUCAUAUACACUCUCUACAUAGAACUUUCUUAAAAUCACACAAUACGACAUAUACAUGUAUAUAAAGAGAAAGAGAAACCUGCAUUUCGUGUUGUAAUUGAAGGGAUCAAUUGUCAUACUGUUCUUUAUAUAUUCAAAAACCAGAACCAGAUUGGUAAAAGCUUGUAAAGCUCAACUUCUCACCUAACUGCAAAAAGGGUAAACUAAAAAUAAUAAGACAGUUAAGACCAAUGUGUUGUUAGAUUGAUGUCACUAUGAUUUACAUUUAUUGUUCAUUCAGUAAGAGGAACAUAUCAACAUCAUAUCUUAAAAACCAACUUACCACGACACAGUCGACACUCUUCUUUAACAAAAAAAAAAAAAAAAUCUCAAGUUCAAAUAGUAAAACAGAUCCAGUUUCAAAUUCAAACCCCCUCACUUGGUAGAGAAGAGUGAAAUGAACUUAAAACCACAAAAGUUUUGAAGUUCUCCUGAAAAGAAGAACAGAAUCUGUGGUGUAGGGACAUGUUGUAAGCAAAACGACAGUGUGGGAUUGGACUUUUGUUACCUUCUCGUGAGUUGGUUGGUAACUCUCCCACUUCAAGACCUUUUUUAUGGUUAAUAAAUUUAACUUCUUACUACAAGGUUAGUUUUAUAUUAUAUGAUACCGCAAAUAUGCAUGUGAACAAGAGGAGUCAUCCUAUUUGUUAAUAUUAAACCAUAUUGCUAUACAAUUUUAGUUUUACCAAGUGUCACAGAUCCCUUCGUCAACAAUAUCACAACAAUACAAAAACAACAUUUCUUGGCCACACAGAAAGUUAAUGCUCCCAAGUCCCAACCUCUCGCUAUAAUUUUACUAAAUAGUUUGUGUUAAUUUUCUUUUUCAAAUUAGAUAAUUAGUUACCAACACGCAAAGAAAACAUUCGAGUGAUUAAGAGCUCACUUGUACUUCACUCAAAGAUCAAAGUAAUUACCAUAACCCUUUUAAUCAAACUAUACUUAUUUUGUGAAGCAACCUAAUGAAUAUAUUCUUGUUCUUAUUAGGAACCCCGCCACUUCAAUCCAAGCCACUUAGUAACUCUCAAGUUAUAGCGAGCUUGGGUAUGAUCUUACCGAUCAUUCAAAGUUAUGUUCACUGACAACAAUAAAAACUACAUAUCAUGAAAAGCAAAAUCAUUACACAUAAACUCUUUUAGAAGCCCCACAAGAAACCCUUUUGAACUCAUUCGACUUCACGGCAAGAAAAUCAAAAAGCUUCAUCAAGCUCUUGUUUCAUGAUACACUCCUUGUCACUCAUCGACUCAACCACACCCUCUAUCAUCUCAUACAUCUCGUUGCUUCUCUCACACGAACCAUCUUUCGCAAUGAAACUUCGUAAUCCUUUACCAGUAUCGAUCCAGCUAGUUCCAGGGAUUUUCUUCAAUCCGAUUUUUUUCAUCUUAUCCCUUACCAUCUCAGCUUCUUCCCAUCUCCCUGCUUGAGUGCAUAGAUUCGCCAUGAUAGUGUAACUCCCUGUAUUUUCUGGUUACAAAAAUAGUAAUACUUAUAUAUAAAAAUUAAUUUUAUUUAAUAUAUUUUCAUUUUUAUAAUAGUAUAUAUAAAUUUNNNNNNNNNNNNNNNNNNNNNNNNNNNNNNNNNNNNNNNNNNNNNNNNNNNNNNNNNNNNNNNNNNNNNNNNNNNNNNNNNNNNNNNNNNNNNNNNNNNNUAUCAUUUUCGUUAAUGUAAUAGGAGGGCCAACCCAAACAGAGAUUGUCAUGAGCGAGAUAGACACACCAGAGAGCUUUCAGCUUAUGGAGUUUGGAGUUAUUUUCGAGGCGACGAAUCACUUUUCCGAAAGCAACAAAGUCGGACAAGGUGGUUUUGGUCCAGUUUACAAGGUAUUUUAAUUUCUCUAGCUAUUUGGACCGAAUCAAAUUAAACUUGAAUCGGCCGGUGACUUGUCUUUCAUUCAACUAAAAAACUAAUAAUAAUAAGGGAAAAUGUGAUGGUAUUGCAGGGAACCUUGCCUGAUGGAAACGAGAUCGCAGUAAAAAGAUUGAAAGCGAGAUCAUCUCAGGGGAUGGCAGAGUUCCGAAAUGAAGUGACUCUGAUUUUACGUGUACUACACGUGAACCUCGUCCGACUUCUAGGCUGUUGCAUCCAUGGAUACGAUAGACUAUUGGUCUACGAGUUCCUGGAGAAUUCUAGCCUCAGCAGCUAUAUCUUCAGUUACUCUCACUCUCUCUCUCUCUAUUCUAGAAUUUACUUGUUAUUUUGUAAACUUUAAACUUGAUUCGUUUUGUUUUUGAUUGAUUACCUCAGAUCAAACUAGAAGCCCGCUCCUAAACUGGGAGCAUAGGUUCGAUAUAAUGAAAGGUAUUGCUGAAGGAUUGUGCUACCUCCACAACUUCACAAGCCCACCGAUACUUCACCGCGACCUGAAACCAAGUAAUGUGCUUCUAGGCAGAGACAUGAUCCCAAAAAUCUCAGAUUUUGGGCUGGCUCAGAUGAUGGAAACUGGCACCACAGAAGCUGCAAUGGAAACAGCAGUAGGAACUUAGUAAGCAUCAACAAAUUGUUAAAACUUUCUUCUUCUUCUUUUUUUUUUUUUCACUAAAACAAAAUCACAAUCAAUUAAUUAAAUCCUCUUUUGUUUGUUUUUUGUGCAGCGGCUACAUGUCUGAAGAAUAUGCGAAAGAUAAUAUCAUGUCCCAGAAAUCAGAUGUCUUCAGUUAUGGAGUAGUGUUGUUAGAGAUUCUUACUGGAAGGAGAAAUCAUGAGUAUUGUAUUGCAAAUCCAGGAGAUAGUCUUCUCGACUUCGUAAGUUUAAUUUUUCUUUGUAUUCUUAAAAUUUUAAAGAAAAUUUAUAUUUUAGAGUUUUUUAAAAAGGUUUGGAGGCGAUGGAAGGAUGGUACUGGAUUGGAGGUCGUGGAUUCGAGCUUCCAUGAUGAUUCAUUUAUAGAAGACCAGGUUUUACGAUCAAUGAAGAUUGGUCUAUCCUGUGUUCAACAAAAUAUGCACGAUAGGCCUAGUACAAGGACCAUUGUGGUUAUGUUUGAAAAUGGCCCACGAUCAGAAAUUCUAGAUCCGACGAGACCAAACUAUAAUCUCACAAGAGCUGAUUCAUCUUCUUCUCCAGUUACCGUUACCGACCAAUCAGUCACUAUUAACGAGGCCACUUUGUCAUGCACUGACGCCAGGUGAUGUUUUUAUGUAGUGCGUUUUUCUACUAGUUUACUUAAAAAAAAAAAAAUUUGAACUAUCAUUCCUAUGUUAUGUUUAAUUUCAUGUGUUUUUUCUUCUAGUUUACUCUUUGAAAAAAUAACUACUAUUAUUCAUAUGUAAUGUUUUUAGUUGUUUGGGUCUCAGUGCGGGAGACUGAUACUUUAAUGGUUUAUCUCUUUUGCUAUGCACUUAAUGACAACGAACAUAAUAUCUCGAUAUAAUAAUUAACAACUAGGAUGAGACAAAACCAAAACCAAAACCAAAGGCAACAAGUUACAAGACAAACUGUUCAAAGUCAAUCUAAUCACAAAGAUAAACCCAGUUACAUAAUAUCCCACCUAUUUUUGUUUUUUAGCUGGUGUUUGAUCGAUGUUCUUCACCUGCAAGCAAAAAUGUGGCUUUAGCUGCUUCCUCUUUUGGUGUCUGAAAUGCUUUAAGAACAGAGAGAGAGAGAGGGAGAGCAAAAUUGUUUUACUGGGCCGCAUUCUAAAUAGUACGGCUUUGGUAAUUAUGUAAACAUAUCUUAUACCGAGACAAAUAAGAAUUAAAUUAAGUUAUCCUAUCAAUUAAUUUCAAAACCUCCACUUAGUCUAAUGAUUAACGGAAUCAUUUGGUUAGAAUAAUUAUUUAGCCAUAAACACCAAAAUCACAUGGAACAUAAGCUCAAUUACCUGUUUGGUGCCUUCAACAGAAGAAGUACGACCCCAUCUCUCAGGGGUCCCAAAGUAUGCUACUGUUGAAAGCAAAGCUUGAUAUAUGAACCGGAGGCUUUAUCUCUGUCUUGUUAUUAAUUUUUCUCAAAUGCCACCCCAAAACUUGUGAAGAUUCACAAACCGGCCUCUCUACUAUCACUCGCUUCCUAUUAGCUGAUACCAAUAUGUAUACAUUGUUUAGCCCCGCAAAAUGGACUAUCCCGCUUUGUUUGUGAUGCUCAAUGUGUCUCAACGCUAGGUUCCUUUGAUGAUCAAGCUCAAAUUCAAAGCUCGUGAAGUUUUCUUUGAAGACUAUACGUCUAUACAUUAAACCAGUUUUUCUUAACAUUGUUGGUGAAGAGUUUUCUUCAGCAUCGGAGUGUUUCUCCACGACUAUCCACAAUAAAGGAGGUGGAACUAGCCUCAAAGUAUUGGCCAUUCUCCUAAGGAGCACAAUUUUGUAACGAUCUUUCGUCAUUACCCAGAGUUACAACAAUCACUAGACCUCUUGGUGCAACUUCUUCUUCUUCUGUCUUGGAGAGUGAUCUGGUUUCUUGUUCAGGUUCUUGUGACUUCAAAGGUGCUGGGGCCUGACCUUGGGAACUGUUCAAUGCUUUAUCAACGAGAGGAUUGUGUGUAUAGGUAGAGUUCUCAAAAGGUUGGGAAGGAAUCUGAGAUUUAGUGGUAGUAGAGGGGGUGGUUUCGAAAUUAUAGAAAAGUGAAGCCUUACCAGCAGGAGCAAAGCCAGUGAUGAAACACAUUACAAAACAUAGAGAGAAAUGGAUCACAGCUUUCUUCCAUACCUGAGUUUUCUUCUUUGAUCUCUCCAGAGAUCCCAUCAGGAUCCAACCCUAAGAAGAAGUUUUUCUUAAUUAAGUGAUUUUCCUUUUAUUUUUUGGGAAGAACAAUCUAGUUUGAAGAGUAUGAAAUAUAAGGGCUUUUAUGACAUUUGUAUAGUUUUUGUCUUUAUAUUGUUGGUAAAUGAUUAAAACCGGCGAGCUACGUAGGAGUACGUUCUCUUUGAUUGAUUGCGUGUGUUGGUUGUGUUCUGCAACAACUUGUUGGGAUCAUUGGAACUCACUAGCUAGCUGAAACAUGUUUGGGAAAUAUAAGAAAAUUACUGUUAAUAUAGCAAAUAUAUUAAAAUUAAACUUUGCUUAUUAAUGACUCUUAAUGCAAGUAAUUAAGUAUUAUUUUAGUUGUUGUUGAUGACUGAUGAGUAAGGUUAUGAUCAAGAUAGGAACUUUUGAGAGUACCUAAUAUAGAGGAUAGUAGUCUUCAAAAAGUGUGAAGUGAUGAAACUUGAAGUUGAAAGAGACAAUCCAAAAAAUAAAUAUUAACAUGUCAUCGUGGUUUAUAUUAUGCACUUUAACAAAUGGAUAUCAUUUUUACCGUUAUAUCAAGCCAUGUAAAUACAUACCACCACAAACAAGUCGUUUUCUCAAGAAAGUUAGAAAAGAGAUCAAGCUGGACGAGGAGUGAGCCUAUCUUUGGCCGCCGUGUCUCCACGGUGGAGGCCAGAGGAGAUACGCAAGCAAGAAGAAGCCCCCCGAGAAACGCUCUGUUACUAACUCGGUGUUCUUGGAGCAAGAACAAGAAGAGACAAAGGAACCUCAUGAUGAUGACGUCAUUGUCGGAGAACCCAAGGUUGUGCAUUUAAUAUUCAGUUCAUUUAAUACAUCAGUCAAGUCACAUUUCCAAGAAAAUACUCCACUAACGAAGGCGUCUUUGUCUAUUUUUAAUUCGUUCCUUAACGCGUACGGAACGCGGCCCAAUAAAAUAAUUACUUUAAUUCUAUUUUAAGUCUCUGCUUCUCUACCUUCUUUCCUCUUUGUAAGAUCAGAGAGAGAGCGUUUGUUGAGAAGAUCUUAUUAGAAGGUGAAUAUCAAUCAGAACAUGGCGAAAGAAGACAACCACGAAGCUCAACGAUGCGAGUGCGAGGAUCAUGAGGAAUCGAGUCCUCUCUUGCAAGUUAACGAAAGCAAGAUCUGCUCAAAAGGGGACACCACCAAGACGGCGGAGGAAUAUGGCUGGACGGCGGAUGGAUUGCCGGUGAGCCAAGGGAGCGUGAUCGGCGAGCCGAUCGGGAGAAACCAAUGGAGUUCCGGUCUUUUUUCCUGUCUCGGCCGAAACGACGAGUUCUGCAGCAGCGAUCUCGAAGUUUGUGAGUCUUUAUGUUCUGUCUCAAUGAUUAGUGUCUGAAAUUUGGGAUUUUUUUGUUAAUGGGUUUCUUGAUUUGGUGGAGGAUGAAUUGUAAAGUUUUGAUUUUGAUGUGUUUUUCACUGUUGGUGAGUCUUGCUUGUGUUCUGUCUGACUGUCUCAAUGGUUAUUGUCGGAAAUUUUGGUUUUUUUUUUAUUUGGUAGAGAUUGAAUUGGAAAGUUUUGAUUUUGAUGUGUUUCACGGUUGGUGAGUCUUGUGUUCUGUCUCAAAUGAUUAUUGUCGGAAAUUUGAGGUAUUCCCUAAUGGGUUUCUUGAUUUGGUGGAGAUUGUAUUAGAAAGUUUUGAUUUUGAUGUGGUUCAUGGUUGGUGAAAAGACUCAAAUCUUUUACAUCUUAAUGGCUUCUUCUUUGUUAGGUCUCCUUGGAAGUGUGGCUCCAUGUGUGCUGUAUGGAAGCAAUGCAGAGAGGCUUGGGUCUGCUCCUGGAACGUUUUCGAAUCACUGCUUGACGUAUUUGGGGUUGUACUUUGUCGGCAACUCUCUAUUUGGAUGGAACUGCCUUGCUCCAUGGUUCUCUUAUUCUAGCCGCUCUGCCAUUCGCCGAAGGUUUAACCUUGAGGUAAUGAUCAAAUUAUCUGGUAUUUAAUCCGGAAAAAAACUGAAAAAUCUGUUUUUAUAUCUGAAUUAUCUGAAAUUAUCUGAGAAAAAGGAACCGAACCGAAAUUUUGUAUUAGUCAGUUUUUAACAUUGUUGCCCGAACCAAAAACGGAAAUAACCAAAACCGAACCAAAUUUCAAAUAAUCAAACGGUUCCUAUAUCUCUAGAACCGAAAAUCGAAAAAAAAAAAGAACUGGAAGUGAACGCCAAGCCUAGUUGUACUCUAAGAAAAGAGUCAAUCAACUCCUCUCUUUAUAUAUCUUCUUGGUUGUGUACCACUCUCUGAGUUUUAUAGGAGCCAUGGAGAGACAAGUCUUGUCUCAUAGGCACUCUAGUGUCUCUAGUUUUGGGCAUGUGUAUUACGAGAGUCUCCGUUGCAUUCCAUCUCGUGACCCUAUCUUUUGUUUUCUUUUGGUGUAAAAAACAGGGAAGCUUUGAGGCGAUGAACAGGUCGUGUGGUUGCUGCGGUAGCUGCAUAGAGGAUGAGAUGCAAAGGGAACAUAUGGAGACGACUUGUGACUUUGUGACGCAUGUCCUUUGCCAUACAUGUGCACUUUGCCAAGAAGGCCGUGAGAUCCGCAGGAAGGUUCUUCACCCGGGUUUCAAUGCUCAGUCCACUGUGGUUGUGCUUCCACCAAGUGAACAAACCAUGGGACGUAAGUAAGUGAAAAGCUUGCGUUGAGUCAUGUGUCCUAAAUAACAUUUGUAAUACACAAGGUGAACUAUGACGUUGUCUCUUGCUUGCUUUUGUCGCGUGUUCUUUUCUUUUUUUUGGUCUUUCUUCAGUGCAUGCAAAUGUAUGUAUAUCUUUAUUGUUACGUACUUGGUUUUGGAUAUGGUCUUGUAAUAUUCAAUAAAGUUUCGCAACUUGUAACUCUAUAAACGUGGAGGCAUUCCUUUCCGGCGGAACCUUCAUUGCUCAUAGCUCCAAACCAAAGUCUGUGAGAUCAGAUGUGGUAAAGAACGGUUCGGAGAUUCUAAUGAAAUGAAAGAUCUGUUUUUGGACCGGAGAGAUCAAGACAAAAGUGAUUGAUUGCAUUUAAUUUAUAAGACUUUUUAUAUCGCAACUUUGCGAGUCUUUAAUUGUUGCACUAGAGAUCCAUUGUAAUCAUUGUGGUUAAUUUGACUCCUUGAGUUUAUUAGUGUGCAUGUGAUAUGAUUUCUUUAGAUUUGGUUUUAAUAUACAUUUUGUGAUAAAAGGGUCAAGAUCUAUAGCUUAAUACUAUAAUUAAUGUUAAUUAGUACAUUUGACAUUUUCUUAUAGAAAUGAUUAAAUAGGUCUAUUGAUUAGACGCCAAACAAGACUGGCCAAAUUAAUCGCUGAUAAUUCAAAAGAAACCAGACGAAUUAUCAAAAGAUCUUCUAAUAAUGAAAUGAUUUGUACAAAGAGUCAAAAGGAGACACAUGGAGAAGUGCCCAACUCGUCUGGCAUGGCACCUCACUACUAAGCAAUCACGAUUUGGCUUGUGGAGUCAACGAGCUUAUGACAUUAGCUAGUUAAUUUCCCCCAAGUUGACAUCUACUUUUUAAACACAAUUUAUUUAUUACUUAUUAUACAAUUGUAGAUCUCAUCAUAUAUUUUUGAUAUGCGAUUUCUAGUAGUUUAUUGUAGACGACUGUUCUUUGUUUUCUCUUACUCUCUAAUCUGAAUCUCAUUGCAUGGUCGGCAACAUUUUUUACUUGGAACAUUUUACCAUCAAUAAUCGAAUUUUGAUAUCAUGUUAAUAAGUUCUAAAAACUUUAAUGUAUAACUUAACUUAUGUCCCUUAUACAUUACCUGUUAUUCCAUCACAUUUUGAUUUUGAAUUUGUAAGAAGUUUAUAUUUGUGUAUCAUAUAAGUUUAUGGUCUUGAAUCUAAUAGUUUUUGGUACUGUUAGUUCUAAAAUCAUUGACGAAUAUACCAAAAAAUGUGACAAGAGAUAUAUAAAAGUCCCAUCAAAUAAAUUUGGAUUGGUAGUUGUUUCGAAGUCACUCCCUAAUGUACCAAGAACAUAUCUUAAUCCAUCCCAGUUUUUGUAUCUCUUCUUAUUGACUCCAAACCAUUAACACACACACACACAUACAUACAUAUGAUAUAUGAUAUAUAUGGUUAUUAUCUUUCAUAGCAAACAUAAUCAGUUAGUUCACAUAACGACAAUCCUUCCUAAUCUCUCCUUGGUCACCGGUGAGAGGAUUGGUCUCGGACAAGAGCCUGAUAGCGCGUGAAAAUUGCUCAUGGAAGUAACCAUUGUCCGCAGCCAUCUUCGCCACAAAGGGUGCGGUCCUCGGAUCCGUGGCUAUCUCAUCAUCGAUGACAAGGAGUCCUUUAUGAGCCAUGAUGUUUUUGUAAUACAUAUUGUCCACAACCAUCGGUGUCUCAGGGUCGUUGCGGGAGUAUAAGACCUCUUUUGGGUUCGGAUUUGGAGUAGGGCAACGUUUUUUCAAGUAAAGGGCGUACGUAGGGUCGAGAGUCGGGUCAAUCGUUGGGUAUAGCCGGUGCACUAGGUUAACGCAGUGGACUCUACCCACUGAGUGUGCACCUACGGUAAUAAAAAUUGACCGAUCAAUAACAAUGACAGUUAUAUAUCUUUAUUAUCUUAACUAGUAAAUAAACUUUCCAAAAAAAAAUAUCAUAUGUAUUAUUUAAGUAUAUGGUUGAUAAAACUAUUUUAUUUUGAUUUUAUCAGAAAAUGAACCAAAAAUACCCAAAUUAUCUUCUAUUGAACCACCGGACCGUAUAAAAUUUGGUUUAAUUAACGGUGUAAAACGCACAUCUAUCCUAAAAUCUUGAACAAAUUCAAAAACCAAAAUGUCCAUCCUGGUUAGUGUUACCGUGCUGGCUCAAAUCUAUUGACCUAUGCAUUUAAAAGAUAGUUUCUACUCAGAUUUAUAACUCAGGUACCUAAGAGAGCAACGGUGGCUUCAACAUCGAUGCCGAUGGAGUUAAAGUUUGAGAGAACAGACGAGAGAGAGUCAUUGUGGUUAGGAACUAGAGCCUCAACAUCUCUCAAGUAGCUCCCUCUACUGUCUCUCCUUCCUGUCUUUAUCAUAUCUAUCUUUGGCCCUUUCAACUAUUCAUUUCACCAACCAAAAAAAAAACAUCUUAAUAAAAAUAUAAUUCCAAACUAAUUAAAUUAACCUUACAAUGCAUAUACUUACCAUGACAAUACCAUCUCUAGCAGAGAGAGCAACAAUAUCAGCGCAAGAGACUGUUCCAGGACAUUCUUUCUCGAGUGCAUCUUUGAUAGUCUUGAUAUACUUAAAGUUUCUCAUACCAAAACUCCUUGUUGACUUUUGCUCUGAUUCCACACCUCUUGCUGUCUCUAGUAGCAGUGACGCAUCACACGACUACAAAAAAAAAUACCCAUGAACAUAAAUAUUCACGAUGACUUUUUGGUAAUCAUGUUUUUAAAAAUAUUCACGAUGAUGAUGAUGCCAUGUGAUUAUAGAGUAAAUGUAAUUACCUUGACGACGCAGUCAUGGAAGAGAUUACGGAGCCAAGAUACGGCUGUGUUGCCGUGUUUGUAGUACAGCGUCUCCACUUGUUGUCUGAUUAUCUCUUCCGCUCUCGGACAACUCUCUCUGUAAUAAUUCAUCUUCAGUUCCGCAUUUCCUACAGUUUAGUUAAUCUUUAGAUUCGAUUUAAAAAAAAGUUAAUCUUUAGAUUAUUCGCUUUAUUUACGUAUGAGUGAUUACUAGCCAUUUUAUAAUAUAAUAUUUGUUGAAUUUUUACGGUGGAAAUUAGUUUACUAAAAAAAACCGUAGUUAUUUUGGUUUCAGCUAGCAAAAAUUAGAAAUAUAUUCUCGAGACAUGGAUACACGUGGCAUAAUGUGAUAAGAGAAAAGGGAAUAUAAAUUACCGAUAUGAAAGAUGGAAAAUAACUGUAAUAACAGGCAAAAGAAAGCCAAAAAGCAGAAGGGCAUCUUCACAAUGGCCAUCUUUUUCUCUCCUAUCUUUUUGUACUUUGUUGAUUGGUGUGUCUCUUUAUGUGUCCAAUGUAGGGUUAUAUAGAGAUUCAAGAGACUUGAGAAACUCUCUUUAAUCGUGUAAUAUAUAAUUAAGUAUUUUUAUUUCUUAUAGUCAUAGUGGUUGCCCAUGUUAAUUAUUCUUUUUUGAAAUUAUCAGGGGAUUUCUUAUUCUAGACGAAUAUUAAUAUUGAAGCUUGUAACCACUAGCUAUAUAUCUGAACUCAAUAGUUGUUGAACAUGUGAAUUCAGUGAGACGAGUUUUCCUAUUCUAUCCGAUGAUAAUACAAAAUUAAAUUAGUUCGGCUUUUCACUUCUUUUCACUUUUAAUUAGCCUUCCUCAUACAUGUUUCAUGUUCACAAGAUACAAAAGGAGGAGAUCUGUAAUAUAAAUUACGCUCUAACUUGUAACUAAUUGAUUGGAUUGGAUUCGAAUAAAUAAAAUCAAAAUGUAAAUGCUUGCGAUGAAUAUGUAUAUUACACAUCAACUUCAAGAUGACCGACUCAAUUAACUCCCAAUCAUGCUAAUCUAUAGGUAUUCAAUAUAUAGCAUACAAUAUUAAAUACGGUUUCACUUAUAUGAGUUCAUUCACUAAUAUAUGAGUAAAUUAUUAUUACCCGACUGCUGCAUAAAUUUUAUACCACCGAUUUAGUUUAUAGAUUCUAACAGACUUACUGACAUGUUAUAUUAUUCCAUUUGAAAUAUCGUUACCAGUCUGGAUUCUUUGGCUGACUUAAAAAAAAUAUUUUGCUUCAAUUGUGUAACAAAUGUAGAAGGAUAUUAUAGACUAGUCAUAAAUAUGUAUAUAUGCAUGGCCCAUUGUUAUACAUUUUGGGAAAAUUAUUGAAUAUAUAUUAUAUAAAAUCAUCUGAUGGUAGCCACAAUUUUUUUGUUUAAAUUAUCUGUAACAUGAUUACCGUCUAUAGCGGGUUUGCGUCAUUUCGGACAUGCGCUUGAUGCAAAAUCAAUACGACUGUGGAUGUUAAAAUGGAUAUAUUGACUUCACUAAAUGUUAAUAUCAUCAUCAGCCACUUUAUCCUUCGGCCACUUAGUCACUUGUGAUAUUUUUAACACAACACAUUGGGUGAAUUCGUAUUAUACGCAUUUAAUGUGGCACCAAGAGUUAAUUCAGACCCAUUCAUAGCUAAGCAGUUUAUAAUAGGUUGCCGCUAUUUCAACGUAUCAUUCAUCAAAAUUUGAUGUAUCUAUUUUAGUAGAAAACGAAAGAUGUUUCAUUUUAUUUGGUGUAAUAAAUCUUUAAUGCUCUUGAAUACUGCUUAAUACCGUCAGAACUCAGAACAUUAACUUUAGUUUUAAAUUAUAAUGCAAUUACUAAAACACUGCAAAUUUAUUUCAUUAUACAAUAUACAAAAAAUGAUCAUGUAUACUCUCUCUCUUUUCACAAUGAUAAAUUCCCAUUUUUGUUUUUAAAGAAUUUUAAGGUUUUAAUACAUAUUCCCUCAGUUUCGUAAAGAAUACCACUUUGACAUUUUCACACAAAUUAAAAAAAUGAUUAAAAUACAUUAAAGUUCUUAUUAGUUACACUUAAUAUGAAACAGAAAGAGUAUUUAUUAGUACUUGUUACAAAUUGCAUAUAUCAAAAUAUUUAUUAAUAAUAAAUACAUUUUUAUUUUUAUUAGUUUAAAUUUAUGUAAAAUUGUAAAAAAUUUAUAAUUGAUCACUAAACAUUAAUUAAUAUGUGUAAGAAAUGAAAAUUUAAAAAAAAUGUGAAACAGAAAGACUAUCACAUAAUUUAAUAAAUGUAAAAACUACAAGAAUUUAAGUUAAUAAUAUAUUUACGUCAAUAAUACUUAUGUUUCGGGUUGAUAUCUUAAUUCGUUUUGUAAUAAUAGCACUUUUAAAUCAAUUUGGUUAUAGAUUUUAAAAUAAAUUAUACUCAUACUUGGAAGCAAAUUAAAAAAAGGUUAUAAGAUUGCUUGGUGUAUGAAUAAUUGAAAACCAUUUUUUGUUUUUGACAACAAUUGAAAGCCAUUAAGUUUGACCUUUUUAGGCACUUGCUUAAUCGCACGCGCAUUUGAAAACCACCAAAUAAAAUCAACCCCACUUUCUUAAUAUUAUUGUGACUGAUGACGGCUGUAACAUUCUGGUCUUGACCGUCCAGUCCAUUCACUUGAACACGCACAUAAUGCUUUGUUGCCGAUUCACUUAUUUUCAUUAAAACUCAUCAUAUAAAUGAUUUCCCCUCCUUUUUCCUUUACAUCUAAAAGUCUAUGUAGUUUUUCUAGAUGCUUAUGAGUUACGCAAAACGAUCCUCUCCCACACAAAAAAACAAUAAUAUUAAUAUAUGUUUUAAUGUCCAAGUGUUUGAUUAGUGCUGCAGUUUGUAAAUAUGUAAUAAAACUAAUCAGCUUAAUUUUCUGUUUAAACAAGAAGUUUUGUAUAGAAAGACGACUUGGAUUAUAUUUUUGUAAGAAUUCUGAAUUCCUGUCGUUUCAUUCCAUAACAAUAUGUGUUAAUAUGUUCGUGUAUUAUUGACUUGUUGCUUUAUAGUUAUUUAUUUAUUCCCAAGUCAGAUUAUAUUCGUUCGGAAAAUGAACGUGACUCGUAUAUGAGUUGACCUUAUGAAUAUUGUCUAAGGCCUUAUCCAUUAGAUUAAAAGUUCAUUAUACACUUAUUAUUUGUAUUUAGUUUGAUUAUCUCCAAGGCUACAUUAUGAGCUGUUAGCUAGUAUCCUAAGUUAUGAAUAGCUCCAGAAAGGCCUUAUCCUAAGCUAUAUGAACAUUGUGAGCUAAGCUGAACACUUGCUUAGAUGUAACUUGAUCUUGUAUGUUUUCUCUAAAAGACCAAUAGCCAUCUUGUAUGCUUAGUUGAAUUUGUAUUAGGAUCUCUUAGUUGUAAGAGAUCAUAUGUUCAUCAAAUGGUUCUAUCACUACCAUAAGUUCUCUGUAAGGCCUUGUUGUUCUUCUCGCUCUGCUUUCUGCAGCCUGGUUAGUUUCCACAGGAGGCUUAUGUUCUUUGAUAGCAAAGUGAAAACCGUCCAUCUCUUCAUAGUCAUUUGGUAUAUUUGAACUUGUGAGCCAGUAGGCACAUGAGCUUCUCAGCAAGAAGAAGCAUUCUCUUUUCUUUUUUUUUCUCUACUCACCAAUAACAGAUAUUAACUUCCUUCUAUUUACAACUUAAAAUGUUAUAGUCUAUCACAUAUUUUCCCUUUAAACAAAAGAGAGAGGAAUUAUAUAUGUAUAGUUUAUCUAUCAUAUGGGUUCUUAAAAGCAUCAGGUAAAAGCAGGUGAUUUGCAGAUAGGGCAAGAGUUCUUCAAAGACAGCCAUUUCUUUAUGCACCCUCCAUGGUAGUCAUGACCACACCCUUUAAGUUCCCCCAACUCUUCUCCUUCCUUGUAUUCCUCCUAAAUGUUACCGUUACCACACCACCAUUAGACUCUUGGCACAUUUAAAUCUUUGAGACAUGCGAAUCUUACCAGGCAGAUUGCACAUUUUCUUUCCUCAUCCGUUUGAUACAAUGGGUAGAAUAUCGUCUCCAACAAGCAAGUGGAGAUUGCGCCCUUGGAUAGACCAGUGUUAACACUCCCAAUCCUUUCAACAAGAUCAAGAAGGUCCUGGAUAGUGUCAACCAUUUCAAGAUACAUCAGUUGCGAGACAUUUUGUCUGGGGCUUAGAAAAACCAAGAGUUCUGUAAUUAACCUCGUAGGUCAUGUCAUCGAUGUCGAGCCUCAAUUCUCUGUGGUGAUCAUGCAUAUUCCUGGAUCCAUAGUGCUGUUGGUGAUCUACAGCCAUAAAUCCCUGUUUUUGUACAUCCACAACAAAAUAAUAGAAGAAAGUUCAGUCUGCAGCAGAAUAAGAAACAUGAGAGUCUAUGUAGGCAAGUUUCUGAAGUGUUGGUCCCAUCAGUUUAUUGGCAAGUUUGGUAGGGAAAAAAAUUACUACACCUGAGAUGAAAAUGGUUCAUGGAGAGCAACUUCAUCGAAAGGAGGCUGAAACCUCUCAUAGGAACUCCUGCGUCUCCCUGGGCGAUCACUGCUACGCCAUGAGAUGUGUGGUGGUGGCCUCAGAUGCCUAGAAGGAUAUGUCUCAGUGACAAAAGGAGACCUAUCUCCAGAAGAAGAUGCUGAAUGUUCCAAUCGCAAACCGUUUGAAGAAGAUCUAUAGGUGGGUGUUGACCUAUGAGAGAAGCGGGAGCUAGUUGCAGAUUGUGUUGAAGUUCCAGGAAAACCGUGGGAAACUGUAGAGUUUCUGUUUCCGAUUAGCCCUUGGUGAUACCAAGAGGUAUCAACAGAUGUGCUGUUGGCGACACUUCUCGUGGGAAGAAAAUUAUUUGUCUUUGGACUAAAGCCAUUUAAAUCUGCAGGGUGAGAAUUCAUGUGGUUAAAGAACGUAGUCAGUAAAAAUUUGAAUCUCAAGAGAGACCAAAGUGAAAUUUGCAUACCUCUAGGUACUGGGGAGUGUCUAGGAAAGUUCCAGUUCCAGUCCUUAUUCCUGUGAGAUGUUUGACCAGGAAACUGACCUGAGCUAGAGUGAUCAACAUUGUGAUGUGUAGGAUGAGAAUCAAGGUCCAAGCUUCUUGAAAAAAUAUUUCUAUCUACACUAGUCUCUAAAUCAAGUGUAGGACGACUCCGGACAUUCCUUGAAGAACUCUCUCCCCUGAUCGAGAGAUUAUUACUUCUGUAACUUGGGUUCAUGAGCCACGGCAUGUAAUGAGGACCAUGAUCACGAGUUGUUGAUUUUCCCAUGUCCAACUCCGAGGAGAAAGGGAUAUCUGAGGAAGUUCUGCCACCGUGGUAAUGGCUUGAACUACCCAUUUCAUAGACGGAAGAAUCGCAUGGGGUUUUCCGCUUCUGUGCUCCUCUCACAUUUUCCAUAUGUAGAUCAACAUAGCCAUCCAAUGACCAUGUCUGACUGUUGCAGUACGAAGAAGAUGCAGAUGUCACAUAAUGUUCAAGUGGAGCAGAGAAAGUUGCAGCUGCUGAACUCAUGACAGGAACAUGGGUGGGGCCGCUAGUCCCUGGAUUGUAGUGUAGCCUCUCUACACCAUGACCUGAAGCAGUAUACGCAUUUGGUCCUGUAGAAGAGUUCCAGUGCGAAGAAAAUGGCAUUCCUUCAUUCAACACGUUUCCUGCUGGAUUAACAUGCGAUCUGCUCUCACUGGUCCCAGUUCUUGCUGAGAUAACAUAGAGCGAACAAUAAUACGAAUCAGAAAUUCCGGACACGAUUGCACAGGAAAAAGUAGAAUUAUGUAUGUGAUGAUUAUAAAAUGUGGCUUCCUAAUUUUCACUACCUGAGGGUAUCACCUAUCAAGAUUCAUUUUUGCCCCUACUGAAACCCAAUCUACCCAUGAGGGAGAAACUUCUCAACCUAAAAAUACGCAUGCAACAUCAACGCAAUAGCUCUUACACAGGUUGAGUAUAACAUCUAUCCAUGAAGAACGUGUUAAAAAUAUUGAUUUCAACCACAGAAUAAGGAUCUCUAUAGGAAUGGAGAACUAAUUACCUAAACUCGUAUAUGGGUGCUCUGGGUGUAUAUGGUUCCAGCCUUGAUCCUGUUCAUCAUCGAAAAAUUGGAAAGAGCCAGGAAAAUGUCUGUGCCCCAUGAUUACACAAAUCUUCAACCUUGGAGUCCAGCUAACCCUGCACAGAAAGUUCUCUCAACAUUCAGAACUCAUCCAGAAAAAAAUUUGCAAGUCCAUAAAAAUAGUUCUUAAUUACUAAGCAAUCUCAGUUUCAAUUCAAGAAUGGUAUAUAAAGUAACAUCUGCUUUAGCUCAGAAGUACCAAAUGGUUGCUGAAAACGAGUCACCCAUCUAUUUUCAGUUUUAUAGUCACAUUUCAAGACCAAAACUCCAAUUUUUGCAACUGAAGAACCUUAACCAUCGCCAAGUUAAGAAACAAAGUUUCUUCAACCCCACACAUGAGCAUACUCAAGCUGUAAGAAACGAUUUAGAAUAUGCAUAGAGAACACUACACAGUAUUAGGACGGACAUCAACUUCAGGUAUAAAGGAAACUGACAAUGGUAUAUUGAUAGAGAUUCUUUAUCAGAAGAGAGUCCAUAGUUUCAAUACCUAGUAUCAAUAUAGUUGAAAUAUCUAGUCUCAGUUACCUUUGUCACCCGUAUCUAACAUACUAUACCCUCAGAGCUCAGCUCAUGAUAUCAUAAAAACAAGUUUUCGAAGAGUUGGACUGGAAAGUUCCUGAUGCCUUAAGAUGGGAAUAACCUUAACUAGUACAUAUCUAUCAGCUCAUAAGGGUAUCUUGCAAUCAAGAGUUAAUAAAUAAAACAGAAACCUACAUUUUCUCUUUGUGUAAGCCAAAAGAAAAUAAGAGACACAAAACAAGCAAGAGUGUUCUCUAGUACAUUGGCAUAAGAAGUUCAUUUAAACAAGACAUUUACUCAGGUUUAAGAACUUCAUAAAUUUUACAGAAACAGUCCACCGAGAAUAAGGCAAGAAAGAACAGAUACAGAACAGAUAACAUUUGAUAUGACCAUUUCAGCUUCUAUCAACACAUACAGAACAGAUGCAUACUGCUGGCAUGAUCAAGAAAAUUACAUGGAUGAUUCAACAGCAGGAAAUAAGUUUAAUUUUCUGAGCCAAAACCCUCCAACAAUACUACUGCAGGCAAAUUAAACUCCCAACCAAGAAUACACUAAACUACACAAGUGAAAAAGCCAUCAUCCUUUCCUGAUCAACUGAUUCACCAUUUCCACACACCAAAUGUAAUUUCUUCUCUUCAAGUUCAGAAUCAUAACGGGCUUAGUCCACAGAGUGCUGGCCAGCAAAGGCUUACCACCACAUUCUACUAUUCUGAAGCUUUUACUUAGUCAAAACCUGCCAUCCGGCCCAGCACACCUAGAUCUACUCCAAGAGCUAGUAAGCAGAAAUGGGUUGUGUGAAAGGAUGCUUCUAAGCAAUUUGCUUUAUGCUUCAUAGGAUGGUUGUCAUUUCGCAAGAAAUAUUGAAGUUUUUACCUUAAUUCACACUUCAAGCAUCACUGACUAAUUAACACAUUCAGUUAUGAACGUGGAAUCAAAAGAAGGGUGGUGGAAGAACUGGACCAGACAAACUUCACAAAGCCUUGACUACCAUAAACAUAGUUAUCAGCCAUAAAACGUAAAUGAGUAAAAAACUAACCACGCUAAUAGAGUUUGGUUGACUUAUCUUACUUCAAGUUCACGUUGGUUUCUCAAUCAACCAACAAUCUGCCAAAAUAGAAGGAAAACGGCAGCCACCGAUUCUAUGUAUUACAAAGGCUUAGCAUAAGGCACUAACAUCUGCUGACAAAAGUGUUAGAAUAAUACAUUUUCUCUGCUACAAUUUCAAAUUUUCUAUUAUAUUUUUGAGAAAAAAACCAAAAUAGCACUAAAUCAAGUUUUUGUUCCCAAACUAGCACUCAAGGCCAAAAGUCACAAAAAUAGCACUCAAGAGAUGGGGUUUAGGGUUUAGGGUUUAAAGUUUAAGUUUUAGGGUUUAGAGUUGAGAAGUGAGAUUUUGGAGAUAAGAUUUCAAAUUUUGAAAAAUAAAAAAGUUUAAAUUUUUCAAAAGAUAAAAUGCUAUUUUGGUCAUUUAGUUUUUGAGUGCUAUUUUUGUGAUAUAAACUUAGAAAAGUACUAUUUUGGAGAUUUGCCUUAUAUUUUUUCGAUUUUUUUUUUUUUGAUUAUACAAAGUUUCCCUAAAGGCUUCCUAAGGGACUAAUCUGUGUAGCUGCAACCCGAAUGUGAAAUCCGCAGUGGCCGGGAAUCGAACCCAGGUGGCGGUACUCACAGCUGUGAGCCUCUGUGAGCUAAACGCCCCGGUUUAUUUUUUCGAUAUUACUAAAGAGGAAGACGUAUUUGCUGACCUUAAACUAUAUGGACGUUACUAGUUCAAGACUGAGAGAAACCAUCGUUGCCACUAAACCUGCUGGAUACAAAGCCUAGCUAGUUUGAUGCUAAAUAGGAAACUGCUCAAACUAGCUCUAUAUAGCUUAGCCCCGUCGCUGAAGUAGCCUGAACUAAUCACCGAUCUGGUCUCCUCUUCUUCUCAGCAUCCGAAUCUCUAACUACGAUUCAAACAAUCCAAUCACGAAAAGUCACUCAUGUAGCAGACGGAAGCAAACAAUCAUCACGCAAAAGGAAAACAGAUGAUCCGUCGUAACAGCGUUUAAACAAAUCAUUGGUGAAACUGCAAUCGAUUUGAGCAUAUAUAUACAUAUUUACACGAAAACCUCAGAGCUCAAACGAUGAUCGGAGAAGAGAGAAACGUACCGCUAGCAGCGUGCGGAUGAUGGAGAAAGGAGAACGAUCGGAGGAUUCAAAGAGACGACGAACGGAUUCGUAGAGAUGACUCAGCUUGAGGAUUGUGAUCGGUUGAUAUAUUUAAGAGAGAAAGCAAAUGAAAAAAUGAUAAAACAAAACAAUUUAAUUUAAAAGCGAUUGGGUGGGUACGUUGCUGGAAAAUUUAGACCACCACAGCAUCACCGGCUGAUUAAUGGGCGUAGAUUAAUGGGCCUAUAUUUUGACUUUAUAUGGGCCUCCACUGGAUCAGCAACUAUCCCUUCUUCUUUUUUUGUCACCAGCAACUAUAGCAUUGUUCACAUAGUGCAUUAUGUUGCAUCUGACAGAUUAUGAGCAUAUAAUCCUUGAAUCUGCUUUGUAGAAAGCUCUUAGAAAUUUAAUUUUUCCAUUGUCUUUGCACGUGCUGUGAAAUUUUGUGUUAAUUACGCAUAAAGUUUGAUUCGUUAGAUUUAGUCCAAAGUAAACAAUAUGGAUACAUAGUCCACAAUCCCCCUAAAAUGGUUAUUUCUCAGAUUUUGACAGUCUUAAUUUGAAGACAAUUUGGAAGAUGAAGUUGCAGUGAAACACGCAAGCAUUGCAUUGCUUUUUUCUCUUUCUAAAACCAAUGGAAGUACAAGGAAGUGGAGGUGAAUCAAUAACAAUAAACCGUGUGCAUUGCCGAGAUUAUAUAGUUUGUGAUUAUACCAUUUUAAUACAGAGAAGCUGCAAAUACCAAAUUAAACCAACGCAGGUUUGAGGUUCCUACGUCAAGUUCAACCAUUUCAUUUCUAGUGUAAUUUCUCUAUUCAAAACAACUAUAGAAAGGUCCACUAGACAUGGCAGACGAAACAAUACCCCAAUAACAUUGUGGCAUUACGAAAGUAGCAAAGCAAAGCAUAAGAUAAAAUAAAAGCGGCAUUAUAACAAACCAAAACAGACUUGUUCUUGUUCUUAACCGAAACAUAAAAGCUAAAACCUCAAAAGUGAAAAUAACCGAACAAAACACUUAAUCUCAAAUUCCCUUUUUUUUUUAAAUUAAUUAAUUCUCAGGAAUCUCAACCUCACCCUCUUGAAUCUCCUGCUGGAUAUCCUUGGAAUCUCCUGCUGAAUAUCCUUGGGAUCUUUCCCAUCCACAGUACACCCAACAGACACACACGUCCCAAGAAUCUCCCUCACGGUCCCGCUCAGCUCCUUCGCAAUAGACCUCGGCCUCAUGAUCCUCGCGAUCUCAAUCACGUCAUCGAACGAAAUGUUCCCGUUGUGCUUAAUGUUCUUCACCUUCUUCCUGUCCCUCUCCGGCUCCUUCAAGGCCUUGAUCACCAGCGCCGCCGCCGAAGGCACCACCGUCACUUUCGCCUGGCGAUUCUGCACCGUCAGCUUCACCGUGACGCGGAGCCCCUUCCACUCCUUGGCCGUCUCCUUGGCGAUGUCUUCUCCGAUCUUUUUGGGAGCCAGACCGAGGGGACCGAUCUUGGGAGCGAGGGAACUCGCGGCUCCGACUUCUCCGCCGGUCACGCGGACGUAGACGUCCACGAUCUGGCUCGGGUCAAGCUUCGGCGGCAUGGCUGUCUCGGUGGUUAAACGGAGUUUGAUUAGUUUUUUUUUUAAGUGGAGUCCGGAGACGAGGAGGCGGUUGAAGACGAGCUCCAAAGGCUUUUAUUGAGGUCGACACUAGGGUUUACGAAAUGAUGAAUUUACUACCCUUGUAAACAUAUAUGGGCCUUAAGAGAAUGAUCUUAUGGGCUUUAUUUUAGACUAUCGGUUCUUUUACGGUUUAGUAAAUAAUAAAUCCCCGGUUUGAUAGAACCGGUUUACUUCCGUCGCCUCUUUGCUCGGUGAGAAUUGCCUAAAAUAUUUCCUCAGUUUCGGAAAGAAGUAUAUUUUAGUUACCAAUAUAAUUUUAAUAAAUAAAAUUAUGUUUUUUUACUGUUUACGAUUAAUUUAUGCAUUGAAACCGUAAAAAUGUAUUUUUCUUGAAACGGAAUUUUUUUCUAAAAUAUGGAAUUUUUUGAAACGCAUGGCUUUUAUUAUACUAAAAUAGUGAAAGUGACGUCACUUCGUUUAACCGAUAUGAUCAACAACAGAAGCAUAUAGUUUUGACAAUAUACUGGGAAACAUUUACUUUUUGGAACUUUCUGUUAUCUUAUGUGUGUUAUUUAAUUAGUGGGUGGCUAAGGACCAGAAGUUGAGAAAGAAGGAAGGGAACACAGCAAGCCAGCUGAUGAAUGCCAUUGCUGUGGCGGUCUGGAACCUUGUGCAGUGGCUGCCAUCACAUUUAUCAAGAUCGUUGAUGAGUACGGUUAUGCCAGCAGACGCAGAUGCAGCUGCAAACGUAAGUAGGCAUGUGAUCUGCAAGGGAUGAAAAUAGACAAAACAGUCACUUUGUUGCCUUCUUAGAAACUAACUUUAAACAAUAAAGAGAGAUGUUGAUUUCGUUCUUACUCCAUCUCCAACUGUGAAACAUCGAACAACCAAGUGAUUCCGAAGGCUUCUUCCCACCAGAAGAGCAUAAGCAUCGAUGAUAAAAAGAGACAAGCUCCACAGGCUUUGCAAGCUAACCGCAAAAACCAAACCACUGUCACAGUUUAUAGAUAUGUUUUGUCAGAUUCAUAUUUUUCCGUAAACCUUAGGUCUAAGAGUUGGAUUUUACUAGAAUGCGGUGAAGGAGUGGAAGUCGGGGGUGGUGAGCAUGACGGAGAGGGAGAUGAGAGAGGAGACGAACUGAGAGAGGCGGAGGAUGAGGCCGCCGGUGGUUCCUGGCAUGCCCUGAAUAUCUUUCAUCCUCACUGGCGGUCUAUCGUUGGCUCCGCCAGUAGGACCCACGGGGACAGCAAUUACCGGACGAACCGCCGGUCGGCUCACGUUCAUCAUGUGAAAGUGAGUCACUCUGAUAACACACACACAAAUGAGGAACUAACUCGACUGAGUUUGCUAAACUAAUUUCCUAAAGACAAAGACUUAUUCAACUAACUGAAUCUCUAACACAUGUAGGACUUUCGAACGUUUACCGCAAAAGUUCAAACAGACCCACCUUGUAAGACACGAAACUGCUACUUUGGCUGUCUGAAAAAUGGAAUUAGUGUGGAUUUUUUUUUUGGUCCACGAGUUAAUUAGUUAAUGUGAUGUGUUUUGACAGAAUCGACCCAAAACAUAGUAUUUAAUGUUCCUAACUUUUGAUAUCUAUUGACUUAGAGUAACCGACUUUGAAAGUUAGUAUAAAACAACUGUAGAAACUUUUAAUGUGGCUUACUAGAUUUUUGGUGCUAUUCUAAAGUAUUUAUGUUUUUAUAUUAUUUAUUUCAAAUAUGUUAGACAUAAUAUUAUAACUUAUUAGUACUAUUUUCGACAGUUUAUGUUAUUACUUUUGAAACAGAUUAUAUUUAAAUUAGUAGUAUAUAUUAAGCUAGAAAAACACUCGAAAUUUAUUUGAACACUUAAAAUAAAACUAUAUUUUUUGUUUCUUAUUCUUUUCCUGUGUUUAUUUGUGUUGUAGUAUUGAUAAUUGACUAAAUAAAUACAAACAAGAAAAUGUGAAACUUUUGUUGGUUACAGAACAGAGUUGAUGAUCUUACAGAGAAUUAAAGACAUUUAGUUUGGGGUUAAAAAGACAGUUCUAAUCAUUUACAACAAAGAACUUCCACCGAACUGGAAAUUGUUUUUACUUUACCCCAACUAAUCGGGAUCUAUUCCUUCCAUUUUUAGUAAGAUUAAUAAAAUCGUGAAAAUCUGACAUUUUCAUAUCUAUAUAUAAAAUCUUUAAAUAGUUAUCUAGAUAUAUUUAAAGUUAUCUAGAUUUUUUUUUUUUGAAAAAGUUAUCUAGAUAUAUUAGAUCUUGAUAAUAAUCAUUCUCCAGCCCUUUCCAUCUCCCAGCAGAGCUUAGACGCAACACUUUCAUGGGAAGGUGCAUAUUCCUGCAAAAUGACAACAACAACGUUUGAGAUUAUGUAGAGACCCAGAAACAAUUCAUUUUCUUCAAUUUACCUCAAGCUUCUUCACAAGCUCUUUAGCAGUAGGUUCAGAGACUAUGAUCUCACGAGCAGUCGGGCUGAUGAAUCCUUCUUCAACGGCUUUAUCGAUGAAUGAAAGCAGCGAGUUGUAGUAUCCAUCAACGUUGAGUAAACCCACCUGCAGAAAGUUUGUUUUAGUGAUUUUGGAUUCUUGAAUUUUUCCAUUUGAAGUAAGAAUAUUAGGGAGGUUUUUUUUUACAGGCUUGUCAUGAAUUCCAAGCUGAGCCCAAGUUAUGACCUCAAGCAAUUCUUCAAGUGUUCCAUAGCCUCCUACAAUUAUCGCACAAAAUUUUAGAUUUGAUUUGUCAAAAGAGAGCAGGUUAAUCUGUUACUAUGAUAUGGUCAAAUCAGUAGGUGUGUCAUGUACAAUACAAAACCAAAUAAUAGAGUCCUCUCCUCUCUGUUACUGUUUUGUACAUUGGUACUGACUAUGAUUACAAAAGCAGGAUCUUGACUUUCCAUUAAUGAUUUCAGAUUAAGUGUGGGCCAAAAAAUGCCAUUUGUGGGACUGUUUCAAGUUUUGUCUCUUAACUUGAAAAGGGCAAAGAAAAAAAGUUUGGUCAGAGUAAGACUACACAAGCUAUAGAGAGAGUACCCCCUAAGUUAAAAACAAAGCAGAGCAAUAACCAGAGUAAAAGAAAAGGAAAAAGGUAUAAUUCUAAGUGCCAGAUGUUGAUGGUUAAGGCCUUUUAUCUUACACUCUGGUGACUUUAAAUAUUUAGAUUUUUUUCAUUUCAAAGAAUAAUUAAAAAUAAAAAACUUUUCACAGCAGCUUUCACACUGCAGCUUGACCAAAACAUAAUGUUUUUUUUUGUGUAACUAAGAAAUCAUGUUUUUACCAAACUCUUUUCUUCUCUUUUUUUACAAAAUCAGUCCAGAAAAACAAACUUUUUCCUUUACAUGAACAAACCCUACUUUGAAACUUUGAUUACCCAUUCAAAUUGUUUUAAGAGGCUAUUCUUAAAAUUCUUUGCGUCACUAGGGUUUUGACAAGUUUUCGUAUGUUAUCAUUACUUACAUUGAAAGAACAGCAAAAUUUUGAGGUUUAGAAAUGUUUUUUGAGAAAGAAAACAUUUGAUUGAAAAUUUGGGUGGAUUGGGUUUAAAACAAAACCUGGUAAGGCAAUAAAAGCAUCAGAGUGCUUGGCCAUUUCAGCUUUCCUUUGGUGCAUAUCUGCAACUGCUCUUACUUCUCCUACUGUUUCACCAGUCAACUGCAAAAAACAAUGAUCAUCCACCAUUUUAAAAUAAAUAAAAGGAUGUUAAUUAAAAGUAGUUAAAGGGCAAAAGCAACUUUGGGCUCUUCUACAGGCAAACGCAAUGAUGUCACCGCAAGUAGUCGUAAUGUUUGGAUGUUUUUGAAAUCUCCUACAGAACCCUAACAUCUAGUUAACCUCUUUCUAAUCAUUUUCUUCAUAUAUCUUUUAUUCAGAUUACGGUAACCAAAUGAGGAUAUUUAUAUUUUAGGACACCUAAACUACUCGCAAUCAUGAGAUUUAAGAAAAGGUAACAAACAGGGAGAAGAGUAAAACCUAAGCAAACACCGAAGAUUAAAAUGGUUUUGAAUGGGAAUUUGGAGAACUUAAAAGAGAAAUUAAAUUAACAAAGAACAAUGUUUUAUUUUGAAAUUUUCUUCUUUGAAAAGUUCAUACCUCUCUAGGCAUGAGGGUCUUUGGAAUUAUUCUGCAGAGUGACAACAAAAGGACAAAGUUGGGUUUUAUUAGAAAUAUUCAGCAAUAUAAUCCAACACUUGUGUUCCAUCAGAAUCUCAAAAGACAGUUUUCUUUUGUAUGAUCUGAAGCUUACAAAGUUGUCAAAUAGUUUAAAGUUAUUUGACUAAGAAAAAGUUACCCAAUAACAUGACGACCACCAUUAUGAACAGCUUGUGAAACCAAACCCAUCAAGCCUAUGCUCCCACCUCCAUAGACUAGAUCAAUUUUCCUUGAGACCUGCAGAACAAAAAAAAAAACAGAGUUACACUUUUUUUUUUUUUUUUGUCACAAAAACAGAGUUACACAUUAGCCUAAACUUGAUGAUAAGUAGAGCAAAAAUCGUGUAACAAACCAGAACCAGAAUAUUCUGAAGUUAUACCAUCUGGCACGUUUCAAAGAAGAAAUAAAUGAAGCAAAGAUGCACAUCAUCUUAUCUCAAAACCAACCAGCAUAAUCAAAGACAUAAAUACGUUAAAAGUCAUGUAUGUGUUACCAGUUCGUUGCCGAGAUCUACAGCAGCAUCUUGGUAACUACUCUUCUUGCCUUGGCUGCUUCCACAGAAGACACAUAUUCUUUUGAACUUUGACUUUUGCAUCGUUUCAGCUUUGAUCUCCAUUGAAUAUGAUCCUAAACUUAUGAUAAAAUAUAAAACUUCUCCAGAAAGAGAAAAGGUAAACAAUUUUAAGGUUUCUUUCAGCACAAGAAUCUAAUUUCGCAAGACAGUUAUGAGUGACAAAGAAACCUAACUAAAUCUGAAAAAAUAAUUUAUUUUGGGAGUUGUUUUUAUCCUCACCACUAAUGUUUCCUGGCUCAAGGGUUGUUGUUAUAUAUAUAGUGCGUCAUCGAUUUAAGCUUACUUAUUUUAAAUUACAUUCUUUUUGAUGUUUACUAAAGCUAGCAGCCUAGCACAACAUUUAAUAAUACAAAUUUAGAAAAAAAAAUAGAAGGCUUUCGUUAAAAAGUUUAUUUUUUUGUUUGUUUGAAUACUUCAUUUCUGUUUUAUUCCCCAUAAAAAAAAUAUUUUUGACCAAAAUCUUAUAAAUCGUUGAUUUGAAUAUUUAAUAAAAAUCGAUAUUUUUUAGAUUUAUGUUGAGGUCUUUACACGGGAGAAAUUAAAGCACGCGUCUUUCACUACCCGCGCGGCACGCGUGACCGAAUUCUUCUUUGUGUUAAUUUUCCCUUACUAUAAAAUCACGUACAACAAUGAUAGACUAGUACCAUAAACCUUAUUUAUGGUCGUAAAUAACAAUUUUUUUUGUUACUUGAGAGGAAUUUGGAUCAAACCGUAAUCUCCGCUUAAACCUGAAACCAUGUGUCCAUGCAUUGAUAAUAGUUUAUGACAUGGCGUAGAACAUUUCUUUCCAUAUAAAUGACAAUUCUUCGUAAUGGACUUUAUGGUUAGACUCACAAUCACCCAACUAGAUAGAAAUGCCAUGUUAAUGCAGGCUAUAUCUCACAAGGAAUUAUUAUCAGUUGUGUUCUUUGUUGUUAAAGAUCAUAUAUAUCGUGUUUAGACUUCAUAACCCCCUCUUAUGAUUUCGUAAAGAAAGCUCUCAGUGAUUAAAAAAAAACUGAUUCAGUAAAGCUUCGUCAUUUUUCGUUCUUAAUCAAGAAUAGGAAAAAUAAUUAAUUUUCUAUAUAAAAAUAAGAAAAAUGGACAGCAUAUGUGGACAGUGUAAGAUGGGUACAAACGUUAUUAACUGAUACUCUUGAAAAACAAAUAGAGAAAGGGAAAAUAAAUAACCAAAAAUAACCAAGACAAAGGCCACACUAAUAUUCUAAUGGAACCAUGUAGAUGUCAUGGAUAAACCAAUGAGAUAUAUACACACUCACUUAUCUAAAGAGAUAUAUAGAAUGAAUAAGUUAAUGAGAUGAUGAUGUCUGGGAUAUGGAGCAAUGUGCCAUUGAUGAUUGACAUAAGAAAACAAAGUGAUGGCUUAUGUUACCAGUGUAGCCUAAUUCACCCUCCCUAUGUAGACAACCUUCUUCUUGUUCUUUGCAUAGAAAACGUUUCUUCUAUUUUUAUUCCCCUAUAUUCAUUUUCACCAUCCUAAGCUAUAGUAUGGAGUUGUGAUAUAAAAUUCUUUUAAUUUUUUUAGACUAUUAUUUUUGUCUUUCUCUUUCAGAAUAAAGUAAUCAUUAAAUCAUCGUUGAAUUAUUUAAAGUUAUGAAUUCAGAAACAUAUGCAAAUUAUCGCCUUGUGAAAGAAUGAAAAAUAAAAUUUCUUGUUACACUUCCCAUUUCAGGAGAACCUUUUAUAUAAUCUUGAUUUAUUGAAAAAUCAAAAAUUUAAAACCGAAAGCUGAGAGCUAAAACUAAUAAGAAAAAAAAAACACUAGUUUCGUUAAGACUCUAUCGUAACCCUAUUGACAUGUUGGCUUGGAAUACCAGGAACCUCCCCAACACUCUUAUACUUAACUGUAAGCAAACACUUACAAUAUACUUCAGAUCAUAUAUAUUUGUUUAUAACAUGUGUAUAUAGCGUAUGAGUAUUUAAAUAAGAAAAUAAAAUAAUUACAAUCCCAAGAUCUGAGUAGAUGCAACCCAUUCCUUCUAUAAACAAAUAAGUAAGUUUGUAAAAUAGUUUGUAUUAGUAUAUCUGCAUGCUUGCAUGCGCAUUUUUCUCUUGUUUUUCUUUUUCAUCUCUAGUUUCACUUCACAUUCUUCUUGGGUUUUUCACUUCCGACCCAAUUUUUAUUUUAUUAUAAUAACCAUGACGAUGGUAGUGAUACCACAAUUUAAUCAGAUAAUACUUUCAUGCAGUCCAAUUUGAAAGUGUUAAAUAUUUGAAAAUGAGCACAAGAGGUUUUAUAACUCGAAUCUUUUUAUAGUCUGUACAGAAAAAAAAAACAAAAAGACAAUUUUAAAGGUGGACGUUUGAAGAACAAAUUAUCCUUUUUACAAAAGGUUAAUAUCUGUCUCCAAUCGAUUUUGACAUGAUUUCAAAGACAUAUAGUGACAUAGCAUUAACGAACAUCUAACGGAAUCCUAAAUCACUUUAACUAAAAGAAGUUCAUAAAGAAAGAAAAAGUAUUAAGUUAGUCAUACAACUAGUUCAUUCUGUUCAUAAAGGGGUUCUAAGUAUUUAUAAAUAUCAAUUUUUCUUGGAGUGGUUCUCAACCUUUUCAAACAGGUCAACAUUUUUUACUUCCUUUUAUAAAAGGUUUUUGUUAAAUUAAGAAAAGUUCUUUCGAAAGAUGAAACUUGAAUCCUUUAUAUAUUUACUUAUCAGUUAAAGAAGUUCAUUCAUAUUAGACCCAAUACAAUUUUGUUCAUAAAGGGGUUCUAAUUAAGUAUUUAUAAUUAUCAAUUUCUAUGCAGACAUAGGAAAGGCUCCGCGCUUUCUAAUAAAUAUAUAUAUGGGUUAUUAUAUAUCCAUGCCUGACAAAAAGAAAAUGCUUAAUUUGAUUUAAUUUAAGAUUAAGGAGAUGAAGAUGAAAAAAUUAUUAACCCAUAUUAUUUUUUCAUUUAAGCUCUGGCUGUAAAAAAGCUGAACAACUUUUACCAUAUUAUUUUUUUCCGAAGUAUAUUAAAAAGAAGACAAUAUAUUUAUUCACUGUUUUAGGUUUUGUUCCAAGCUAUCACCACUAUUUUGUCAGUAGUACCAUAGAUUCAUGAUUAAAAAUGACUCAAAACCUUUCUUAAUAAAUAAAUUUUAAACCUUAAAUGAAAAACUUAAGCCAAACAUAGUAUCUCAAUAUUGUCUAUAAUUUCUUAAAAUAAAGGAUAAUAUCCUCACACAGUUUUUUGUAGUAGUGUUAAAAAGAACAGUAAUAGUAUAUUCGGAAUAAAAACCUUUUAAAUAUAGCAUCUACGGUAUUUUUUUAGCUUUUAUGAACUAUUUUAAUGAUUUAUUCUUGUUUUUGUUGUUGGUAAACAAAUAUUUUGAGAUGAUUUGUGUAUUGGAUGCAAACGGCAUAUUUAAAUUAAGGAAAUGCUAAUUGGGAGGCAGGAUAAAAUUCUUAUUAAUGUCCAUCGAAUUUUUUUUAUUAAAAAUGUUUGAAUAUGUAAUGUGCAUUGGAGUUAACUAUGACAUAUUCUUAUUACGGGUUGGUUUUGUCGUUGAAACAAACAAGAACGUUAUAUUAAGUUCAAAAAACAAACAAGAUGUUAUGGAGUCACACAACACUAUUUCGUACAGAAAUGAUACCUCUAGUUUUUAAAUGUAAUUUUUUUCCUACAAUUUUGACAUCUUUUAAAAGGAUAGUCCACGUAUGAGACUAUGUUAUGAUUGCAUGGGUAAAUACUUUAAUGUACAAGACGUGAAACUUAAUGCAAAACUAUCAAUAAAGGUCGAUAUGAUUCUUUAAACCAAAAAAAGUUCGAUAUGAUUCCGACAAUAUUUUAGAUUUAUGACUUUGAAACCCAAAAGGAACAGACAUUUACCACUUUGAACCGAAAAUAGAACCCCCAAACUUGUUUUUUUCCUCAACGGACCAACGUUAAAUCCACAAAUUAAGGAAUUGAAGAAAAGAGGAGACAAAAAAACAAGAAAGGAAAAGGGAAGAACAUGGAUUUGUAAAUGGUGAAAAGAGGGACAGUCAAAGGUCAGAGAGGGACAAAUCAUUUGUUUAGUAGUUAUCAUAAAGUGUCGGACAGUUAAUACCGUUACUUACGAGUCAAAUGUCUCUAUUACGUUUUCACUUAUCACUAGUUAGUGGUAACUUACUUAAAUUACUUUUUCAAAAAAAAAAAAACUUACUUAAAUUACCCUCCCAUCAAUCGAUUUAUAUUUUCAAAAUUUCUGUAUUGUGAAAAAGCCAUGCAUUGUUGACGCAAUUUUUUGUUGUUGUUACUUGUCAACUAUUGAUACGUACUACUAACCAUGUUAUGUAUACAAUGCAUCUUUACAUAAACCUCUUUCAGUAGACUAAAUUCACAUUCAAAUCUUUUGAGUUAAACAUGUUUAAAUUGGAAAAUAUUGAGAAAUAAUAACAAUAAAUAUUUAUUGCCCUUUUCAAAAAUAAAAAUAAAGAUUUAUGGUUUUUAGUAAUUACUUGAACUAAAUUUGUUAAAACUUACAUAUACUUACUACUUAGGCAGAUAAAUGACAACUUUUAAAACAGUUAAAGGACAACUUUACGUAUACAGCAUGUAUGUAAGGAGUUUAUGAAGACAAAAGGAGGAAAGAAUCUAACUUAUAGCAAGAAGAGUGGUGAACGUAAGAUGGAGAGAGUGAACAGUCAAAAUACAUUCAUUCAUUCCUUUGUUUUUUUUUCUCUUUUAGAAAUUAAAAUUUAUGUCGUUUGUUUUUGGGACAUUACCUACGUUCAUUUCAACUCUUUCAACCUUUCGGUCAUCUCUAUACGAAUAUACCCCCAUUUGUUUUACAUUUUUAUUUUCUUUUAAAAUUUAUGAAGUUACAUUGGCGCCUACAAUUCAAAAGAUUUAGUUUGACUGGUUUACACCAUGUGAAUCCCAUAGGAUAAAUUAUAAAUAAUUCAUAUGGUUUCUGACGUAUGCGUUAUACAUACCUAUAUUGCAUGUUAAAUAAUGCCCUUUUCUGAGAUGGUGAAUAGAUAGAUAUGUCGAAUUUUUAGUAUAUGAAGUUGAAAUUAUAAGAAAUAUCCUAAAAGUAUUUGCAUCGACAUUCAUUUGCUAAGGAAAAAGGUUAAAAAUGUCUUCAAAAAAGGGUAAUGGACGUUUAAUAUAGGAUUAAGUAGCAAAGGAGCAAACAUGGAACAUGUUCAUCUCCUAUGAAUGAGGUGAAUAAGUCAAAAAAAGAAGAAGAAUAAGUCAAAGUAGGUCUAGUUGCUGGACCGGUUCUAAGGACAACCGGAUAAAAAUCCAUCUUAAUCCCAAUUUUUUUUAAAACUAAGAACUAUUAUACGUAGACCACAUGGUCCAUAUACUAUCCAUAACUUUUUAGUAAGAUAAACCUGAUAAUGUUUGCCAAAGCUCCUUUAGAUUAAUGUUUGACAAAGUGGUCACUAAUGGUUAUACAUCAUGAAGUCUAAGUUCUGAAUCUUAUAGAAGGCAAAAUUGUGCUGGAGAUUUUUUUUAUAAAAGAUGGAGCAAAAAAUACCAUAAAACGUAGAUCUUAUAAGUCGGUUCAAAGUGAUGCAGUAAAAUGUAAAUUCUUAUAAAAAAUAGAAUCAUCAAUUAUAUAAUCGUUAUAAUAUUUUCAUGGUUUGCAAUAGCAUAGCUAUUCAACGUUAAGAAAAACCAAAUAAUGUUUUUUGGCCAUAAAUUUUCGAUCCGGCUUUGUUGCGCUGUCCACGUACAAAACUAUGGCAUAUAUAAUUCACGAGGUUUGAAAUAGUGUUCCUUUUAUUUGUUUAGUUAGUUCUCAAUAUUUUUCUUUCAAAUGAAUGACAAGAGAAAUCGUAUGAGACGAAUAUGAGAGAUAGGUUAAGAAUCAGGAUGUUUUCGUUCACAGUAUAUAUAAGAAAUUAUUAUAAGAGAUUGUAGCUUAUGGAACAACAUUAAGGGUAUGACUGGUUUCCUCGCUGCCACACGCAUGCGGUUGGUAGCGGUUAUUGGCGUUUUGCAACAAUCACUCAAACCGCUCUAAAUCGUUUCAAACCUCAUAAACUCAAAACUGGCUUCAGCUAGCGUUUGCGGUUACGGGAGGAUAAUUUUUUUCAAAACAAUAUAAACAUAAAAAUAAAAAAUUCAAUAAAAAUUUUAAAUUGGAAUUAUAAAAAUACUAAAAUAUAUCUAUUUUAUAUUUUAAUUAAUAUUAUAAAAUUUAACUUUUAAAAUAUAAUUUUUAUAUUUAUUAUAAUAUUAUAAUUUUUUAUAUUUUUAUAAUUAUAUAAAAUAUAAAUAUUGUUAAUUUAUUAUUUAACUGUUGUUGCAUCUGAUAGUUAAUCAGUCAUAAGUAUCCUGCAAAUGCACCAAUUUCUAACUAUAGAACCAGUCGUACAAAUCUCUUAAAACCGCUAGAACUGUAACCAUCCGCAUCAGCAAACUCCUGCGACCGCAACCGCAACCGAUACAUUUAAACAAGUCAGGCCCUAAGACGAUAACGUUUGUGGGCAGCAUCAUUAGCAAAGAGAACUACGUCUAUUAGCAUUAGAAACAAGUGAUGCUCUUCAUCAUCAUCAUCAUCAUAAACUACUUCCAAAGUGUUAUUACACGUAUGUGGUAUGCCGUAUAUAUAUGCAUAUACAGUUCUUUAUAGUAACCUACAUAUAUAUGUAGGUGUAGCCAUCGCAAUAUCUAGGUGUAUUGUAUAUUAGGGUAUAACAACGAACUUAGUAGAGUAGUAUGAAAUUACCUUAAACUUGGUUUAGUUUGGUUGAAACGCGUAAUUAAUAUCUUAGUAUGAAACUAAGAGUAUACACUUUAAGCAAAUAACUAGAUUUUGAUCCGCGCUUUUAAAGCGCGGAUUUAUUUUUUUAUUUUUUAAUUGACAAAUAUUUAGUAAAUGUCGUAUUUUUAUAUAUUUGUCUUUUAUUUUUAUGAAUGCUUAAAUUAUAUUAAGAAAAUAAAAAAAUAAUAAUUAAGAAUAGUUGAAAAAAAAUUAUUUUAACUUGGACUCAAUGGUCCAAAUGAAAAAAAAAAAGUGAGAAUUGAAUCUGAUUUUUUAAUAGGUCCAAAUGGCCCAAGAGAGAUUUGAUUUGGGCUGGAUCCAAAAAUAAUGAUCCAAUAUAGAUUUGUUAUUAAUAUUACUUAAUUGCCCUUAAUGAAACAUGCAAUGUUAGUGAAGAAAACAUACCCCUAAGGUAAUUAUGACAAUAGGAUCCUGCUUUAAUAAUAUAGAUUGAUUUCUCUUGAACCAACUUGCACUCAAUUUGCUCAUUCAACUGCGUAUUGUAUUUGAUUCAAAUAGAUUGCUGUGAUUUUGGUGUUUUACGUGGUUAUCAAAUGUGUUCAUACUCAUAAGCGCAGAAGAUCAGAAAGCAAUAAACAAGACAGAGAAGAUUGAAUCAAAAUAAAGCGAAGCAGUUAAUGACAGCAUUCAGACAGACAAGAACAUGGUCUUCCUUACAAAUCUUAACUCUAUAUGUUUUUCAAACAAAAGACCAUCCGUGCAUCCAAGGCACAACAACACAUAGCUUAGUACGGUCCACCGAAACUGCCAUCCUCUCACAAAAACUGCUUCAAAGCGCCUGUUACAAUUUCCUUUACUCAGAUAAAUCAGUCUAUGAAGUGGUUAAUGCCCAAAAGACCCAUCUAUAAGAACAAUAGUAUAAGUCAUACCUCUCCAGAGAAUAGGAAGCCAUAGAUUGGUGCUCAAAACUGGCGCCUUGGAGGCCUAGCCUCAGCUUCAGACACUCUAAUCUGCCUCCCGUCCAAAUCCUACAACAGGGUACAAAGUAUAAGCACAUCAAGAAUAGUUUCAUUGAUCAAACUGUCGGAAUAAAAAAGAUACUUACAGCACCAUCCAAUGUUCUGAUGGCAUUCUGAACCUCUUGAGCAGAGUUGUAAGUCACAAACCCAAAACCUUUCGACCUACCACUGUCCCUGUCGUAGAUGACUCUAGCCUCAACAACCUUCCCUUGCUCCCCGAACAAACUCUCGAGCGCCAUGUCGUCAACACCCCACGAGAGGUUACCAACAUAAACACGGUUCCCUGAACCAGCACCACCACCACCACCUCCACCAUAUCCUCCACCAGAGCUUCCAAAGCUGCUUCUAGGUCCUCUUGAGAAGGAGUCUUCCCUCUUCGGUGGAGGAGGACCCGCGUUAACUCUCAACGGUCUACCAUCCAACUCCUGCAAACAAAACCCAAUAAGAACAACAAAACAACACAAAGGUUCCAACUUUUUGUCUUUAGCAACCACAAGUUUUUGUCUUUAGCAACACAAAGGUUCCGACAUAAGGUAGAGAAGUAAGUAUGUUCUUACAUAGCCAUUGAACAACACAAAGGUUCCAACUUUUUGUCUUUAAACGCAUACUUACAUAGCCAUUGAACUGCUGUUCAGCUGUCUCAACUUCAGAAGCUGAAGACAUAGUCACAAACCCAAAACCUCUGCUUCUCCCUGUCACCUUGUCAUAGAUAACCUAAACAAAGACAACAAAACGAACAAUCACUAAAACCAAUCUCAAACAACAACAACAACAACAACAAAAAAGAUUCAAUCUUUAUCUCAUUUCUCGAAAACCCAUAACUCAAUUUUGAGUUUUUGACUCGUUACCUCAACCAUCUCGACGUUUCCGGCGCUCUCGAAGAGCUGAGCGAGCUGAGCGCUGUCGACGUUAAAGGGGAGGUUACCGACGAAGAGCUUGAGGUCAGAAGAGAAGGAUUGCUCCCGCCGCGGGGGAGGAGGAGCGUCGUCGUCAGCGAAGAUGCCGUCUUCUUCGACUGAGAAGUCGUCAGUAACCGCGACGUUACGGACGAAGCGAGAGGAAGCGGCGGAGAUGGAGAGGGAGAGGGAGGCGGAGAGGGAGUGGAGAUUGAAGGAGAGGGAAGGAGGUAGGAGGGAAACGGAGGCGGGUCUGGAGAUGGAGAAAGGAAGGGACUUGGGGGUGAAAGUGGAGAGAGCGAGAGAGGAAGCUGAAGCAGCCAUGGUGAAGAGAUGAGAAGAGAUAAGGUUUGUUUUUAGCUUUAGGGGUUUUUGAGAGUGGAGAUAAGAUGGUGUGUUUCUGAUAUUUAUGGGCCAAAUGGGAAUAAAUAUCUUUGCACAAAAUAUCUCAUUCUGAUUUUUAUUUACAAAUUUUGCCUCAAAACUUUAUUUGAUUGCUAAAUAUUCUGCUGCUAAUAAAAUUUGUCAAAUUUCAAUGAAUUUAUCUUAACGUCAUCUCUGAAAAAAAGUAUGUAUUUAAAAAAAAUAUAGGUUUUCAUAAAUUUGUAGACAAUUUCUUUAGAAAAUCUUAAUUUUCAAAAUAUUUUGUAUUUUUCUCACUUUAGUGGUGUUAGUUAUCUUUUUAUUGGAAGUCUCUACUUACUACUUGUCAUACGCUGAAGUGAGAUGACAGAUGAGAUGAGAUCUAAGCCGUAGAGUUUUGGAUGGACAGUGGAGAUGGCACGUCUCAUGCCAAAACCAAAAGAAAAAAUCUAUAAGAUAGGAUUUUUUAACUAAAAGCCAAUGGAAGUAGCAACUCUCGUUCCAGCACAGAUCUUUAACUCCAAUAAAUUCAGAAAACAAUACAGUUCCUCUAAAGAAAACCAUUGAAUCAUACAAAGGUUGCUCCCUUCAAAACAAGUUAAUAAGAAAUGAUGUAUUUGGAUAACAACAGAAGACUGAAGUUCUUGAACUGCAACACGCUUUUAGGAUCUCUUCAAUUGGAGGGUCAUCUCGAGCUUCUUUGUCCUGAAAUGUUCCAACAAACAAGUUGUUGAGUACGAGAUUGUGAUUAAUUUAUCUCUUUGAUUACAUUGACAUGGUGUAAACACAAGUAUUUGAUCAAAACGUGUUACCUGGUCCAUACUCCCCGGUCCGAUCAAAACAAGAGAAACACCAGAUGCAUCCAUCACAUGCUAAGAAAACCUCAAAUGUAUCACUUAAUGAAAUGACCAAACCAUCAUCAAGAUUUUGACAGUGGGGUGAAUCAUUUUACCUUCUUUUACGACAAGCAAGCUUUAAUACCCAACAUAGUAGUAGUAACCAAACACAUUCACCAAAUCUAAUAAGAAACUUCUCCAAAAAGAUUUAACCACCCAAAAUGACGAGCAAAUGCAACAACAGCCUUCCUAUCCUUCCACAAAAUCAGAAAUCAACAGUCUCUCUCCCUGUUCCAGUUCCUGUGAAGAAGAACCGAUUCAAUCUAGUUUAUAAUCUUUUCAGCUUCUCCAAAACAGAACAGAUUCUAAAACUUACCUGAAGCGCCGGUAAUGGCCGACACUGCCACCACGUUACGCCGGAGAGAAAAAUCUACUGGAGAUGAGAACUGGCCAAAGAACCAAACUUUACUGUCCCGUAAACCCAUGAAUCGUUUUUCAUCUUCUGAUUCAGCGUAACGGGAGUGAUCGUCGACGAAGACGGCGAUGAGAGAGAAACCGCCAUUGUUGUUUUUACUCCGGGAAAGCCGAAAGAAAUAAGAAAAAUCCUAACUUUAACGUUUUAGUUAGAAAAAAAAAAUCAAAUUAAAAAAAAUCAAACUUUAAGUUAUUACACGUUGUAUAGAUGACGUAAGCAUUGUCCGAAACAGAAAAAAGUCAAACGCCACGUAAGCUCAGUAAGAGUAAAAUUUUUUGGAAAAGGUAGAUCUUUUUUAAAAGCGAACUAGAUUUUGAUCCGCACAUCCGUGCGGGUAUUCGUUUAAACUUUUAAAAACAUACAAUAGAUAUUUACAUAAAAUUGUUAUAUUAGCGUUUUAUACCAGCUCAAAUAAGAUAAGCUUUUAGCACAUAUAUAAUUAUUAGUAAUACUAUAAGUAAGUAAUUAUUUGAGGUUUAUUUAUUUUAUGUUAUUCAUGUACAUUAAUAUUUAAAAUUUUAAAAAUAGUUAUUAUAUAUAAUAUAAAUGGACUACUUAGUUUUGGAAAGGAAAAAAAUUGAUAUUUUUUAAUAUUUAUGGAAUGGUAAAAACUAUUUUAUAUUGAUUUUAUAUCAUAUCAUUCGUAUUAAUAUAUAUAUGUACAGUUCACAACAGGUAAAAUUAAUUAAUUUUUAACUUUAAGAAAGAUUUUGUUAAGAUAUAUUAUCAUUUGAAACAAUAAUUAAUAUUUCCAUAUAUAAAAGUAAUUGAUGGUAUAUUUUUAAGGAAGAUUUUGUUAAGUUUAACUAAUAUAGUGCUCUUUUGCGAAAUAGACACUUUUUAUUAAUAAUAUUUUAUACGUACAAUCAUAUAAAUAAUCACAUAUAUUAUAUUUUAAAAUUUAAUGUGAAAUAUAAAAGCUAUAAUUUAAGUUGGUGUUUGAAAUUGGGCUUUGUAUUGCAUUUUUUUUGUAGAGUUUUGGAUGGACAGUGGAGAUGGCACGUCUCAUGCCAAAACCAAAAGAAAAAAUCUAUAAGAUAGGAUUUUUUAACUAAAAGCCAAUGGAAGUAGCAACUCUCGUUCCAGCACAGAUCUUUAACUCCAAUAAAUUCAGAAAACAAUACAGUUCCUCUAAAGAAAACCAUUGAAUCAUACAAAGGUUGCUCCCUUCAAAACAAGUUAAUAAGAAAUGAUGUAUUUGGAUAACAACAGAAGACUGAAGUUCUUGAACUGCAACACGCUUUUAGGAUCUCUUCAAUUGGAGGGUCAUCUCGAGCUUCUUUGUCCUGAAAUGUUCCAACAAACAAGUUGUUGAGUACGAGAUUGUGAUUAAUUUAUCUCUUUGAUUACAUUGACAUGGUGUAAACACAAGUAUUUGAUCAAAACGUGUUACCUGGUCCAUACUCCCCGGUCCGAUCAAAACAAGAGAAACACCAGAUGCAUCCAUCACAUGCUAAGAAAACCUCAAAUGUAUCACUUAAUGAAAUGACCAAACCAUCAUCAAGAUUUUGACAGUGGGGUGAAUCAUUUUACCUUCUUUUACGACAAGCAAGCUUUAAUACCCAACAUAGUAGUAGUAACCAAACACAUUCACCAAAUCUAAUAAGAAACUUCUCCAAAAAGAUUUAACCACCCAAAAUGACGAGCAAAUGCAACAACAGCCUUCCUAUCCUUCCACAAAAUCAGAAAUCAACAGUCUCUCUCCCUGUUCCAGUUCCUGUGAAGAAGAACCGAUUCAAUCUAGUUUAUAAUCUUUUCAGCUUCUCCAAAACAGAACAGAUUCUAAAACUUACCUGAAGCGCCGGUAAUGGCCGACACUGCCACCACGUUACGCCGGAGAGAAAAAUCUACUGGAGAUGAGAACUGGCCAAAGAACCAAACUUUACUGUCCCGUAAACCCAUGAAUCGUUUUUCAUCUUCUGAUUCAGCGUAACGGGAGUGAUCGUCGACGAAGACGGCGAUGAGAGAGAAACCGCCAUUGUUGUUUUUACUCCGGGAAAGCCGAAAGAAAUAAGAAAAAUCCUAACUUUAACGUUUUAGUUAGAAAAAAAAAAUCAAAUUAAAAAAAAUCAAACUUUAAGUUAUUACACGUUGUAUAGAUGACGUAAGCAUUGUCCGAAACAGAAAAAAGUCAAACGCCACGUAAGCUCAGUAAGAGUAAAAUUUUUUGGAAAAGGUAGAUCUUUUUUAAAAGCGAACUAGAUUUUGAUCCGCACAUCCGUGCGGGUAUUCGUUUAAACUUUUAAAAACAUACAAUAGAUAUUUACAUAAAAUUGUUAUAUUAGCGUUUUAUACCAGCUCAAAUAAGAUAAGCUUUUAGCACAUAUAUAAUUAUUAGUAAUACUAUAAGUAAGUAAUUAUUUGAGGUUUAUUUAUUUUAUGUUAUUCAUGUACAUUAAUAUUUAAAAUUUUAAAAAUAGUUAUUAUAUAUAAUAUAAAUGGACUACUUAGUUUUGGAAAGGAAAAAAAUUGAUAUUUUUUAAUAUUUAUGGAAUGGUAAAAACUAUUUUAUAUUGAUUUUAUAUCAUAUCAUUCGUAUUAAUAUAUAUAUGUACAGUUCACAACAGGUAAAAUUAAUUAAUUUUUAACUUUAAGAAAGAUUUUGUUAAGAUAUAUUAUCAUUUGAAACAAUAAUUAAUAUUUCCAUAUAUAAAAGUAAUUGAUGGUAUAUUUUUAAGGAAGAUUUUGUUAAGUUUAACUAAUAUAGUGCUCUUUUGCGAAAUAGACACUUUUUAUUAAUAAUAUUUUAUACGUACAAUCAUAUAAAUAAUCACAUAUAUUAUAUUUUAAAAUUUAAUGUGAAAUAUAAAAGCUAUAAUUUAAGUUGGUGUUUGAAAUUGGGCUUUGUAUUGCAUUUUUUUUUAUAUAUUGAAAAUAUUUUUAUAAUAGUUAUUGGAAAAUAUGUUAGUAAAAAUUAAAUUUUGAAUAUAUGUAUACUUUUAAAUGAAUUUUUGAUAUAAAUCAAUUUUAAAUUAUUAUUUUGAUUUGAAUAUAUAUAUCAAGUAACAUAGACCCAUUAUUUUUUAAUAUAAUAUAAUAGACUUCCAAUUUUUUAGUAGCAUAAGCCUAAUAUGUUUUUUCCUAACUUACUACUAUCUAUGUUUCCAAACAAUACUAUUUUUUUUAACUACUAUCCAUAUUGCCAAACAAUCUCAGUGUGUACUUCAACUUUAAUAAUAUAUAUAUAUAUAGAUGUUCCUUCUUUGCACGUUUAAGGGAUCUCAAGCCGCUUCUCUCUCUCACACAUCUCUGAAAUGGCGAGAGUAUUGCGUGUGGCGAGAUCCUCCUCCUCCCUCUUCAGCUUCGGAAGCAGAUCUUAUUCAGCCGAAGCUAGCCACGUGUCCUCUCCCCCUCCUCCGUUUCUUGGAGCUCGCAGAGACGUUACCAAGGAGAGAAACGUGCAGUGGGUGUUCCUCGGUUGUCCCGGUGUCGGGAAGGGGACUUACGCCAGCAGACUCUCGAGUCUCCUCGGUGUUCCUCACAUCGCCACCGGAGAUCUCGUCCGUGAUGCGCUAGCUUCUUCCGGACCUCUCUCCCGACAGGUUCUUGUUUCACUUUAUGUCCAAAUGAAUCCCAAAACGACGUCGUUUUCUGUUUAAAUCUGCUAAAAGUUCAUGUGUCUACCAACAGAUCUAAUGAACUAGUGUUUGUUUUGUCCUAACGGAUCUGAUCCUUUUUCUAAUAAUAGUCAACGGCUCUCUCCUCUUGCUUGUAUUGAGAUUCUUAUUACUUGAUUGCAGCUAUCAGAGAUUGUAAACCAGGGGAAGCUUGUUUCUGAUGAGAUCAUAGUGAACUUAUUAUCAAAGAGACUUGAAGCUGGUGAAGCCAAGGGCGAAUCAGGUUUCAUUCUUGAUGGCUUUCCUCGUACCAUGAGACAAGCUGUAAGUUAAUUCAUUGACUUCACAUCAUAUUGAGCAAAGUUUUGAAUGAUUAAUCUUUGUGUUUUCAGGAAAUAUUAGGAGAUGUCACUGACAUCGAUCUAGUGGUGAACUUAAAGCUACCUGAGGAGGUUUUGGUUGACAAAUGCUUAGGGAGGAGAACGUGUAAUCAAUGCGGUAAAGGUUUCAAUAUAGCUCACAUCAACUUAAAGGGUGAGAAUGGGAAACCAGGAAUCAGCAUGGAUCCACUUCUCCCUCCACCUCAGUGUAUGUCAAAGCUCAUCACUCGUGCUGAUGAUACUGAGGAGGUUGUGAAAGCUAGGCUCCGUAUUUACAAUGAAACCGUAAGUCCUCUUUCUCUCUCUCUAUUGUUCUUCCCAUUUUAGCGAUGCUUGAUGCUUUGAAUGAUGUGUGCAGAGCCAGCCUCUUGAAGAGUACUACCGUAUCAAGGGAAAGCUGAUGGAGUUUGACUUACCUGGAGGCAUCCCUGAGUCUUGGCCAAGGCUGUUAGAAGCUUUAAGGCUUGAUGAUUACGAGGAGAAGCAAUCUGCCGCGGCGUAGUUCAACUACAACUCCGGUUUAUAAUUCUUUGCAUGUGGAAGACAUGUGCCUAUAUCAGUUUUGUGUUGGAAAAUAAAGAAAACCUUAGAUUGUUUUUUUUUAUUGCCUCAGAUCAGAAUAAUCAUCAUCAUACACACUUUGCAAACUAUAUGAUGUAUCAUGAUUGUUUAUGAGUUUGCUAGUUACAGGAAUGUAUAAACACUUUGGUACACUUUUGAUUAUUUAUUGUUGAAUGUGAUCAAUGAUUGUUUAUGAGUUUGCUAGUUACAUUACAUGAAUGUAUCAAUACUUACACUGCUUGUUACACAUCAGGUUUGAUGUUUGGGCUCUUGUGAUUAGUUUGUUUAUUGUUGAAUGUGUGUGAUAAUAUUGCGGCUGGCCGAGCUGGCUGGUUAAAGAACACAACCAGACAGUAAAGUAAAACAGUCGCAUACAUUAAAGAUUUUGUGGAACGUAUAACCAGCUCCUGUCUGUCCUAGAAUUGGCGGUUCAGGAUAGAACUGUUCCUUACAUACUGGAACUUCCAGUAGAAUUUGAUGCUAAUUGUUGGUCCUAAACUAGUGUGUAUCAGUUGCUAUGUGAUCUCAUAACUGGACCUUAUCUUAUGGUUUGUGCUUGAGGUUUCUGAGAAAUCGCUGGGUUCAUUUGAUUCUUCUGGUUUGACAAUUAGUUUCUUGUUAUGGACACGGUGAAAUCAGACUCAAAUCGGUGGAAUAAGACAGCCUCAAAGAAGGCAGACAUAAUCAUGUUUGCUCUUGAUUCAUCUUCAAUCUCAACAGGACAUUAAAAUCAAUUUGUAGCUUUAUUUUGUUAGUAUAUAGAUUUGAUGAAAUAAACAACCUUUAAAUUAUAAAUAUAAAGAUGAAAAUAUUCUUAAACAUGAAACCGUUUUGAUCAAGAUUCAAAAAAAACUUCAUUAAAAGAUAGGGACAUCUUCUGAAACAUAUCCAAAAAGCUCUAAUGAAAAACAGCAAGAUAAGGUCUUUGAGAUGUAAUGCAAACUCAAGGCCUAGGAAGAUCCUCCUUAACGGUUGGCCUUCGCAACUCUCUCAAUCUCAUCCUUCUUCUUGAUGGCAUAGCUGCAAAAAAACAAGACAAGAUGCUAUUAGUAUUUAGCAACAAACAAACACAAUUUGUGAACCCGCUUUAAGAGACAAGACAAUGUAAAGAUGUUUACCUGUUGGAAGAUCCCUUGGCAGCAUUGAUGAGCUCAUCAGCAAGGCACUCAGCGAUUGUCUUGAUGUUUCUAAACGCAGCUUCACGUGCACCAGUGGUGAGCAAGAAGAUGGCUUGGUUCACACGUCUUAGAGGAGAGAUAUCAACAGCCUGCCUCCUAACCACACCAGCAGAUCCAAUCCUCGUCGCAUCCUCACGUGGACCACUAGCUCACCAAUAAAACACACACAACAUUAGAAAAAAAGGUUUCUAGUAACACGCAAUAAAGAAUGCAACAUUGUUGUCUUACCUGUUGACAAUGGCAUCAAUGAUAACCUGAAUAGGGUUCAAGUCAGUCAAGAGAUGGAUGAUCUCCAUGGCGUGCUUGAUGAUCCUCACAGCCAUCAGCUUCUUUCCGUUGUUCCUUCCGUGCAUCAUGAGAGAGUUCGUGAGCCUCUCAACAAUGGGACACUGAGCCUUCCUGAACCUCUUGACAGAGUAUCUUCCAGCAGUGUGGGGGACAAAGGUCGCGUGCUUAGGAGGCUGAACCCCAAUGUAGUCAACAAGACUAAUGUCUGUGCCCUACCCAUUCACAAAAAAAAAAAACACAAGAUCAACAAAACAAAUACUAAGAACAUAGCCAUUGUUGCCAAUUUAAAUUUUAGAGAUCUAAUAUUCAAAAACAAACCAAACAACACAGAAAGUGUUGGACUUUAAGACAAAGAAACAUCAGGAUCAACCAAGUGUACUGAGACAAUAAAACAUGAAUUGAAAAUUAACAAAAAUAAAAACAAAAAGAGGACAUUUUUUCCGACAUAACUCCAUGAGUUAUAUCUAAUUCAGACAAUGUAACUAUUUUUUUGUAAUAGACCAAUCAUUUCAUUGUAGAAUUAGAUCCUAUAAAGAUUGCAAAUGAGCUAUCGUAAACUUACCGAAACGUCAUCAAAGCUCCAGCGAUUGAAGAGCUUGACCUCGUUGGUAAGCUGCUGCUGAAUCUCAGCGUCAAUCUCAACGGCGGCGGCCAUGGCUGGAAACACCAAACAUACUUACACUGCUUGUUACACAUCAGGUUUGAUGUUUGGGCUCUUGUGAUUAGUUUGUUUAUUGUUGAAUGUGUGUGAUAAUAUUGCGGCUGGCCGAGCUGGCUGGUUAAAGAACACAACCAGACAGUAAAGUAAAACAGUCGCAUACAUUAAAGAUUUUGUGGAACGUAUAACCAGCUCCUGUCUGUCCUAGAAUUGGCGGUUCAGGAUAGAACUGUUCCUUACAUACUGGAACUUCCAGUAGAAUUUGAUGCUAAUUGUUGGUCCUAAACUAGUGUGUAUCAGUUGCUAUGUGAUCUCAUAACUGGACCUUAUCUUAUGGUUUGUGCUUGAGGUUUCUGAGAAAUCGCUGGGUUCAUUUGAUUCUUCUGGUUUGACAAUUAGUUUCUUGUUAUGGACACGGUGAAAUCAGACUCAAAUCGGUGGAAUAAGACAGCCUCAAAGAAGGCAGACAUAAUCAUGUUUGCUCUUGAUUCAUCUUCAAUCUCAACAGGACAUUAAAAUCAAUUUGUAGCUUUAUUUUGUUAGUAUAUAGAUUUGAUGAAAUAAACAACCUUUAAAUUAUAAAUAUAAAGAUGAAAAUAUUCUUAAACAUGAAACCGUUUUGAUCAAGAUUCAAAAAAAACUUCAUUAAAAGAUAGGGACAUCUUCUGAAACAUAUCCAAAAAGCUCUAAUGAAAAACAGCAAGAUAAGGUCUUUGAGAUGUAAUGCAAACUCCUUACAUAGCCAUUGAACUGCUGUUCAGCUGUCUGAACCUCAGAGGCUGAAGACAUAGUCACAAACCCAAAACCUCUGCUUCUCCCUGUCACCUUGUCAUAGAUAACCUAAACAAAGACAACAAAACGAACAAUCACUAAAACCAAUCUCAAACAACAACAACAACAACAACAAAAAAGAUUCAAUCUUUAUCUCAUUUCUCGAAAACCCAUAACUCAAUUUUGAGUUUUUGACUCGUUACCUCAACCAUCUCGACGUUUCCGGCGCUCUCGAAGAGCUGAGCGAGCUGAGCGCUGUCGACGUUAAAGGGGAGGUUACCGACGAAGAGCUUGAGGUCAGAAGAGAAGGAUUGCUCCCGCCGCGGGGGAGGAGGAGCGUCGUCGUCAGCGAAGAUGCCGUCUUCUUCGACUGAGAAGUCGUCAGUAACCGCGACGUUACGGACGAAGCGAGAGGAAGCGGCGGAGAUGGAGAGGGAGAGGGAGGCGGAGAGGGAGUGGAGAUUGAAGGAGAGGGAAGGAGGUAGGAGGGAAACGGAGGCGGGUCUGGAGAUGGAGAAAGGAAGGGACUUGGGGGUGAAAGUGGAGAGAGCGAGAGAGGAAGCUGAAGCAGCCAUGGUGAAGAGAUGAGAAGAGAUAAGGUUUGUUUUUAG
rnacentral:lncRNA from 1 species